rnacentral:lncRNA from 1 species
CCCGAGUCACUGACCGCUGCCGGUGGGCCUUCUUGGGGGCUGACUUGUACAAUAUUCUUUCAUUUGUACAUAUAUUUGUUGGCCCAAACGAGGGCGUGUAAGAUAGCCACGCUAGAGAUUGUGAGAUUAGCGAGUGUAGCGGAAAUCCAGUGUAAUUGCCCAAACUACUAUCGUAACGUGAGGUGUGUGUGCGUGGCUGCGUGUGUUCUCAACUUGCGCAUGCUUUAUUCUGUACCAAUGAAGGCUGCAGCCAUGGUCAUGAUGUAAACAGACUGCUUACUUGUUAUUUAUUUCUUGGGCUGUUACACUAUACUAAAGGCGUCGUGCUGGCUGGCUGUCUAUGGUUUACUGUUAUGCUGCUUGCUUCAACGUAGCGUAUCUGUGUAUGAUCACCACUUGUGCCGCCAGUUCUUGCAAGAGUAUGGUUUGCAUCCGGCCAUUCUGUUGCUGUGCUCAAGAUAGUAGAAUCUCCUUUUUCAAUUCAUUUCUCUUUUAUUUUACACGCAUUCCCUUAGGGCCUGAUUCAUUAAAAAAGAUAGAAUAGAGUUGCACGGUUAAUUAAUGGAAACCUGGGUGAAAACCGUUACAACACACCCACAAAGAAGGGCACCGGGCCGACCUGGCACCAACAAGACAACACAUGCCGCCAAGGAGAGGACACCGUUGAGGUUGCCUGCAAUGUCAUCGUCAUCACCUCUCCCCGAGACUUCGACUUCGCCGAUGACGGUCCGUCAAGACCCCUUCGGACGGACGACACACAAGGACCUCGGCGGCCAUAGCCAAACAAUCGACCGUAGACACCGAGGAUAGGCAGCUCCAAUUUUGCUGUCGCGCUUCACUGGAGAAAGUUGCAAGCCUCGUACCGAGCACAACCUCCGGAGAGCACCAAGCGCUGAAGCCGCCCUCAUGGAGUCAUCGUUGUGUCACAGCGGGGAACAAACAUAGGCGCAUCCAUUGGCGAACGAAACCUUCGAUAUCAGAAGGACAAGCCGCGACCCAGCUCCACACACCACCAUCGUCGUCGCCGCACAAGUCGCAAUGCCAACAACUCACAUCACCGGUUGGACACCAGCCGACCGCAAUGUUGUGAGCGUCUAGCCUAUGGAAUGCGCGGACAGGAACAAAGAGCUUCAAGGCGACGCCCCAAAGGGGGGAUGCGACGAGGACAUCGUCGUUGCCCAACCCGACAUUGGGCCUUGGGCUUUCACCCGAAAAUCUUGAACCGGGAGUAGGAGGUCGGAGAUCUCCAUGGCAGCAUGAUGUAGGAUAGAACCCUACAUGCCCGAUCUUUCACGAUUGGAGGGGAUCCUACGAAGAACACGAAGAACACGAGGGGGAAAACGAGGGAAACACGAGAUAAGUCGCUCAACCAACAAGGUAUGGUUACACAUGUGCUAGAUCCUCGAAACACAAAGAGAGAUACACGAUUCAAAGUCAACAAGGGACGAUACAAAGGGUCUUCUCCGUGAGGAGGUCUUGAAGGGCCUUCCCGUAAAGGGGUCUUGAAUCCGCUUGGGGGAUCUUCUCCGAAGAGGCGCUCGACUCCGAUGGAGAAGUAAACAAGUGGAUGAGCAAAGCUCUAUCUCAAAUAUGAGCUAUCACAAUGCUAACCCUAACUAGGAGGUGGAGGAGUAUAUAUAGUCUAGGUCCACGAAGGGGUAACUGGGAGAGGGAUACAUGGGCCUCAAGCCCGAUCUCUUUGCGCAGACAGGCGUCGGACAUCUGAUGGUUGUCGGUCGUCCGAUCGCUCGCGGGCGUCCGGUCGUCCGAAAGUCUUCGGACUUCCGAUGUUUUGGCUCUGGUCCGGUAGUGUCGGACGUCCGGUCGGCGUCGGUCAUCCGGGCGCUGAUGAGUGUCGGACAUCCGGUGUCGGGCGGUCGUCCGGGCGCUGUACGUUGCCUCGGCUGGAGUCGAUCUGGUUGGUGGAGUCUCCAGGCGUCGGACGUCCGGAGAUCGUCGGUCGUCCGGUGGUCGUCGGACGUCCGAGAGCUGUAGCUUCCUGGCAGCUCUUCCUCUUGUUCCUCACGCUUGGUGUCCUCGCCGUCUUGUCCAAUGCUCGUAGAUGUUCCAUGGCCUUACUCUUGGUUCUUAAUCAUGCAUAUCACAUAUGUUUGAGGUAGUAGCCAUGUCUCACAUGUGGAAAGUGACGAUUCGGAGAGGAGCGAGUUCACCUUAUUGUUGGGGAACGUUGCAGAAAAUUAAAAUUUUUCCUACGGUUUCACCAAGAUCCAUCUAUGAGUUCAUCUAAGCAACGAGUCUAGGGAGAGAGUUUGCAUCUACAUACCACUUGUAGAUCGCGUGCGGAAGCUUGCAAGGUGAUGAUGUGGUCGUACUCGACGUGAUCCAAAUCACCGAUGACCAGCGCCGAACGGACGGCACCUCCGCGUUCAACACACGUACGGGACGGGAGACGUCUCCUCCUUCUUGAUCCAGCAAGGGGGAAGGAGAGGUUGAUGAAGAUCCAGCAGCACGACGGCGUGGUGGUGGAUGCAGGGCGUCACAGCAGCAGGGCUUCGCCGAGACUACGAGGGAGAGACGUAACGGGGGGAGGAGGAGGCGCCAGGGGCUGGUGUAUGAAGUCCCUCCUCUCCCCCACUAUAUAUAGGGGUGCCAGGGGGGCGCCGGCCCUAGUAGAUGAGAUCUACUAGGGGGGGCGGCGGCCUAGGGGAGGUUUCCCUCCCCCCCAAGGCACCUAGGGGUGCCUUCCACCACUAGGACUCCUCCUAGGGGGAAACCCUAGGCGCAUGGGCCUAUAGGGGCUGGUGCCCUUGGCCCAUGAUGGCCAAGGCGCACCCCCUACAGCCCAUGUGGCCCCCCGGGACAGGUGGCCCCACCCGGUGGACCCCCGGGACCCUUCCGGUGGUCCCGGUACAAUACCGAUAACCCCGAAACUUGUCCCGAUGCCCGAAAUAGCACUUCCUAUAUAUAAUUCUUUACCUCCGGACCAUUCCGGAACUCCUCGUGACGUCCGGGAUCUCAUCCGGGACUCCGAACAACAUUCGGGUUUCUGCAUAUACAUAUCUUCAUAACCCUAGCGUCACCGAACCUUAAGUGUGCAGACCCUACGGGUUCGGGAGACAUGCAGACAUGAACGAGACGCUCUCAGUCAAUAACCAUCAGCGGGAUCUGGAUACCCAUGAUGGCUCCCACAUGCUCCUCGAUGUUGUCAUCGGAUGAACCACUAUGUCGAGGAUUCGAUCAAACCCUGUAUGCAAUUCCCUUUGUCAAUCGGUACGUUACUUGCCCGAGACUCGAUCGUCGGUAUCCCAAUACCUUGUUCAGUCUCGUUACCGGCAAGUCACUUUACUCGUACCGUAAUGCAUGAUCCCGUGUCCAACACCUUGGUCACAUUGAGCUCAAUAUGAUGAUGCAUUACCGAGUGGGCCCAGAGAUACCUCUCCGUCAUACGGAGUGACAAAUCCCAGUCUCGAUCCGUGUCAACCCAACAGCUACUUUCGGAGAUACCUGUAAUGCACCUUUAUAGUCACCCAGUUACGUUGUGACGUUUGGUACACCCAAAGCACUCUUACGGUAUCCGGGAGUUACACGAUCUCAUGGUCGAAGGAAGAGAUACUUGACACUUGCAAAGCUCUAGCAAAACGAACUACACGAUCUUUUAUGCUAUGCUUAGGAUUGGGUCUUGUCCAUCACAUCAUUCUCCUAAUGAUGUGAUCCCGUUAUCAACGACAUCCAAUGUCCAUAGUCAGGAAACCAUGACUAUCUGUUGAUCACAACGAGCUGGUCAACUAGAGGCUUACCAGGGACAUAGUGUGGUCUAAGUAUUCACACGUGUAUUACGAUUUCCGGAUAAUACAGUUAUAGCAUGAAUAAAAGACAAUUAUCAUGAACAAUGAAAUGUAAUAAUACUUUUAUUAUUGCCUCUAGGGCAUAUUUCCAACAGUCUCCCACUUGCACUAGAGUCACCAAUCUAGUUACAUUGUGAUGAAUCGAACACCCAUAGAGUUCUGGUGUUGAUCAUGUUUUGCACGCGAGAGAGGUUUAGUCAGCGGAUCUGCGACAUUCAGAUCCGUGUGCACUUUGCAAAUCUCUAUGUCUCCAUCUUGAACAUUUUCACGGAUGGAGUUGAAACGACGCUUGAUGUGCCUGGUCUUCUUGUGAAACCUGGGCUCCUUUGCGAGGGCAAUAGCUCCAGUGUUGUCACAGAAGAGUUUGAUCGGCCCUGACGCAUUGGGUAUGACUCCUAGGUCGGUGAUGAGCUCCUUCACCCAAAUCGCUUCAUGUGCUGCCUCCGAGGCUGCCAUGUACUCCGCUUCACACGUAGAUCCCGCCACGACGCUCUGCUUGCAGCUGCACCAGCUUACUGCUCCACCAUUCAACAUAUACACGUAUCCGGUUUGUGACUUAGAGUCAUCCAGAUCUGAGUCGAAGCUAGCGUCGACGUAACCCUUUACGACGAGCUCUUCGUCUCCUCCAUAAACGAGAAACAUGUCCUUUGUCCUUUUCAGGUACUUCAGGAUAUUCUUGACCGAUGUCCAGUGUUCCUUGCCGGGAUUACUUUGGUAUCUUGCUACCAAACUUACGGCAAGGUUUACAUCGGGUCUGGUACACAGCAUGGCAUACAUAAUAGAUCCUAUGGCUGAAGCAUAGGGGAUGACACUCAUCUCUUCUUUAUCUUUUGCCGUGGUCGGUGACUGAGCUGAGCUCAGUCUCAUACCUUGUAAUAUAGGCAAGAACCCCUUCUUGGACUGAUCCAUUCUGAAUCUCUUCAAAAUCUUAUCAAGGUAUGUGCUUUGUGAAAGACCUAUGAGGCGUCUCGAUCUAUCUCUAUAGAUCUUGAUGCCUAAUAUAUAAGCAGCUUCUCCAAGGUCCUUCAUUUAAAAAACACUUAUUCAGGUAGGCCUUAAUGCUGUCCAGAAAUUCUAUAUUAUUUCCCAUCAGGAGUAUGUCAUCUACAUAUAAUAUGAGAAAUGCUACAGAGCUCCCACUCACUUUCUUGUAAACGCAGGCUUCUCCAUAAGUCUGCAUAAACCCAAACGCUUUGAUCAUCUCAUCAAAGUGAAUGUUCCAACUCCGAGAUGCUUGCACCAGUCCAUAAAUGGAUCGCUGGAGCUUGCAUACUUUGUUAGCGUUCCGAGGAUCGACAAAACCUUCCGGCUGCAUCAUAUACAGUUCUUCCUUAAGAUGCCCGUUAAGGAAUGCUGUUUUGACGUCCAUCUGCCAUAUCUCAUAAUCAUACUAUGCGGCAAUUGCUAACAUGAUUCGGACGGACUUUAGCUUCGCUACGGGAGAGAAUGUCCCGUCGUAGUCAAUCCCUUGAACCUGUCGAUAACCCUUAGCGACAAGUCGAGCUUUAUAGAUGGUAACAUUACCAUCCGCGUCCGUCUUCUUCUUAAAGAUCCAUUUGUUUUCUAUCGCUCGCCGAUCAUCGGGCAAGUCUGUCAAAGUCCAUACUUUGUUUUCAUACAUGGAUUCUAUCUCGGAUUUCAUGGCUUCAAGCCAUUUGUUGGAAUCCGGGCCCGCCAUUGCUUCUUCAUAGUUCAAAGGUUCAUUGUUGUCUAACAACAUGAUUUCCAGGACAGGGUUGCCGUACCACUCUGGUGCGGAACGUGUCCUUGUGGACCUACGAAGUUCAGCAGUAACUUGAUCCGAAGUACCUUGAUCAUUAUCAUGGUUUUCCUCUUCAGUUGGUGUGGGCAUCACAGGAACGGUUUCCUGUGCUGCGUCACUAUCCCGCUCAAUAGGUAGUACUUCAUCGAGUUCUACUUUCCUCCCACUUACUUCUUUCGAGAGAAACUCUUUUUCCAGAAAGCAUCCGUUCUUGGCAACAAAGAUCUUGCCUUCGGAUCUUAAGUAGAAGGUAUACCCUAUAGUUUCCUUAGGGUAUCCUAUGAAUACGCAUUUUUCCGACUUGGGUUCGAGCUUUUCAGGUUGAAGUUUCUUGACAUAAGCUUCGCAUCCCCAAACUUUUAGAAACGACAGCUUAGGUUUCUUUCCAAACCAUAAUUCAUACGGUGUCGUCUCAACGGAUUUAGACGGUGCCCUAUUUAAAGUGAAUGUAGCUGUCUCUAGAGCGUAUCCCCAAAAUGAUAGCGGUAAAUCGGUAAGAGACAUCAUAGACCGCACCAUAUCCAAUAGAGUGCGAUUACGACGUUCGGACACACCGUUUCGCUGAGGUGUUCCAGGCGGCGUGAGCUGUGAAACGAUUCCACAUUUCUUUAAGUGUGUACCAAAUUCGUGACUUAAGUAUUCUCCUCCACGAUCUGAUCAUAAGAAUUUUAUCUUUUGGUCACGUUGAUUCUCCACCUCAUUCUGAAAUUCCUUGAACUUUUCAAAGGUCUCAGACUUGUGUUCCAUUAAGUAGACAUACCCAUAUCUACUCAAGUCAUCUGUGAGAGUGAGAACAUAACGAUAUCCUCCGCGAGCCUCAACGCUCAUUGGACCGCACACAUCGGUAUGUAUGAUUUCCAACAAGUUGGUUGCUCGCUCCAUUGUUCCGGAGAACGGAGUCUUGGUCAUUUUGCCCAAGAGGCAUGGUUCGCACGUGUCAAACGAUUCAUAAUCAAGAGACUCUAAAAGUCCAUCAGCAUGGAGCUUCUUCAUGCGCUUGACACCAAUGUGACCAAGGCGGCAGUGCCACAAGUAUGUGGGACUAUCGUUAUCAACUUUAAAUCUUUUGGCAUCUACACUAUGAACAUGUGUAAUAUUACGCUCGUGAUUCAUUAAGAAUAAACCAUUGACCAUCGGAGCAUGACCAUAAAACAUAUCUCUCAUAUAAAUCGAACAACCAUUAUUCUCAGACUUAAAUGAGUAGCCAUCUCGUAUUAAACGAGAUCCAGAUACAAUGUUCAUGCUCAAACUUGGCACCAAAUAACAAUUAUUGAGGUUCAAAACUAAUCCCGUAGGUAAAUGUAGAGGCAGCGUGCCGACGGCGAUCACAUCGACUCUGGAACCAUUCCCGACGCGCAUCGUCACCUCGUCCUUCGCCAGUCUCUGUUUAUUCCGCAGCUCCUGCUGUGAGUUACAAAUAUGAGCAACGGCACCGGUAUCAAAUACCCAGGAGUUACUACGAGUACUGGUAAGGUAACAUCAAUCACAUGUAUAUCAAAUAUACCUUUGGUGUUGCCGGCCUUCUUAUCCGCUAAGUAUUUGGGGCAGUUCCGCUUCCAGUGACCCUUCCCCUUGCAAUAAAAGCACUCAGUCUCAGGCUUGGGUCCAUUCUUUGACUUCUUCCCGGUAACUGGCUUACCAGGCGCGGCAACAUCUUUGCCGUCCUUCUUGAAGUUCUUCUUACCCUUGCCCUUCUUGAACUUAGUGGUCUUAUUGACCAUCAACACUUGAUGUUCUUUCUUGAUUUCAGCCUCUGCUGACUUCAACAUCGAGAACACUUCAGGAAUGGUCUUUUCCAUUCCCUGCAUGUUGUAGUUCAUCACAAAGCUCUUGUAGCUUCGUGGGAGCGACUGGAGGAUUCUGUCAAUGACCGCCUCAUCUGGGAGGUUAAUGUUCAGCUGGGUCAUACGGUUGUGCAACCCAGACAUCUUCAGGAUGUGCUCACUGACAGAACUGUUUUCCUCCAUCUUACAACUGUAGAACUUGUCGGAGACAUCAUAUCUCUCGACCCGGGCAUGAGCUUGAAAAACUAGUUUCAGCUCUUCGAACAUCUCAUAUGCUCCGUGAUGCUCAAAACGCUUUUGGAGCCCCAGUUCUAAGCUGUAAAGCAUGCCGCACUGAACGAGGGAGUAAUCAUCAGCGCGAGACUGCCAAGCAUUCAUAAUGUCUUGGUUCUCUGGGACGGGAGCGUCACCUAGCGGUCCUUCUAGGACAUAUUGUUUCCUGGCAGCUAUGAGGAUGAUCCUCAGGUUCCGGACCCAGUCCGUAUAGUUGCUGCCAUCAUCUUUCAGCUUGGUUUUCUCUAGGAACGCGUUGAAGUUCAUGUUGACAUUAGCGUUGGCCAUUGAUCUACAAGACAUAUUUGCAAAGGUUUUAGACUAAGUUCAUGAUAAUAAAGUUCUAAUCAAAUUAUGAACUCCCACUUAGAUUAGACAUCCCUUUAGUCAUCUAAGUGUUACACGAUCCGAGUCGACUAGCCCGUGUCCGAUCAUCACGUGAGACGGACUAGUCAUCGUCGGUGAACAUUUUCAUGUUGAUCAUAUCUUCUAUACGAUUCGUGUUCGACCUUUCGGUCUCCGUGUUCCGAGGCCAUGUCUGCACAUGCUAGGCUCGUCAAGUUAACCCUAAGUGUUUUCGCUGUGUAAAACUGUCUUACACCCGUUGUAUGUGAACGUAAGAAUCCAUCACACCCGAUCAUCACGUGGUGCUUAGAAACGACGAACUGUAGCAACGGUGCACAGUUAGGGGAGAACACUUCUUGAAAUUUUAUAAGGGAUCAUCUUAUUUACUACCGUCGUCCUAAGUAAACAAGAUGCAUAAUACAUAAUAAACAUCACAUGCAAUUAUAUAGUUGUGACAUGAUAUGGCCAAUAUCAUAUAGCUCCAUUGAUCUUCAUCUUCGGGGCUCCAUGAUCAUCUUGUCACCGGCUUGACACCAUGAUCUCCAUCAUCAUGAUCUCCAUCAUCGUGUCUUCAUGAAGUUGUCACGCCAACGACUACUUCUACUUCUAUGACUAACGUUUAGCAAUAAAGUAAAGUAGUUUACAUGACGUUAUUCAAUGACACGCAGGUCAUACAAAAAAUAAUGACAACUCCUAUGGCUCCUGCCGGUUGUCAUACUCAUCGACAUGCAAGUCGUGAACCCUAUUACAAAGAACAUGAUCUCAUACAUCACAAUUCAUCAUUCAUCACAACUUCUGGCCAUAUCACAUCACAUGAUCAAUCGCUGCAAAAACAAGUUAGACGUCCUCUAAUUGUUGUUGCAUCUUUUACGUGGCUGCAAUUGGGUUCUAGCAAGAACGUUUUCUUACCUACGAAUCACCACAACGUGAUUUUGUCAACUUCUAUUUACCCUUCAUAAGGGCCCUGUUCAUCGAUUCCGCUCCAACUAAGGUGGGAGAGACAGACACCCGCCAGCCACCUUAUGCAACUAGUGCAUGUCAAUCGGUGGAACCGGUCUCACGUAAGAGUACGUGUAAGGUUGGUCCGGGCCGCUUCAUCCCACAAUACCGUUGAGCAAGAAAAGACUAGUAGAGGCAAGUAAGAUGACAAAAUCCACGCCCACAACAAAGUUGUGUUCUACUCGUGCAAAGAGAACUACGCAUAGACCUAGCUCAUGAUGCCACUGCUGGGGAACGUUGCAGAAAAUUAAAAUUUUUCCUACGGUUUCACCAAGAUCCAUCUAUGAGUUCAUCUAAGAAACGAGUCUAGGGAGAGAGUUUGCAUCUACAUACCACUUGUAGAUCGCGUGCGGAAGCUUGCAAGGUGAUGAUGUGGUCGUACUCGACGUGAUCCAAAUCACCGAUGACCAGCGCCGAACGGACGGCACCUCCGCGUUCAACACACGUACGGGAUGGGAGACGUCUCCUCCUUCUUGAUCCAGCAAGGGGGAAGGAGAGGUUGAUGAAGAUCCAGCAGCACGACGGCGUGGUGGUGGAUGCAGGGCGUCACAGCAGCAGGGCUUCGCCGAGACUACGAGGGAGAGACGUAACGGGGGGAGGAGGAGGCGCCAGGGGCUGGUGUAUGAAGUCCCUCCUCUCCCCCACUAUAUAUAGGGGUGCCAAGGGGGGGGGGCGCCGGCCCUAGUAGAUGAGAUCUACUAGGGGGGCGGCGGCCUAGGGGAGGUUUCCCUCCCCCCCAAGGCACCUAGGGGUGCCUUCCACCACUAGGACUCCUCCUAGGGGGAAACCCUAGGCGCAUGGGCCUAUAGGGGCUGGUGCCCUUGGCCCAUGAUGGCCAAGGCGCACCCCCUACAGCCCAUGUGGCCCCCCGGGACAGGUGGCCCCACCCGGUGGACCCCCGGGACCCUUCCGGUGGUCCCGGUACAAUACCGAUAACCCCGAAACUUGCCCCGAUGCCCGAAAUAGCACUUCCUAUAUAUAAUUCUUUACCUCCGGACCAUUCCGGAACUCCUCGUGACGUCCGGGAUCUCAUCCGGGACUCCGAACAACAUUCGGGUUUCUGCAUAUCCAUAUCUUCAUAACCCUAGCGUCACCGAACCUUAAGUGUGUAGACCCUACGGGUUCGGGAGACACGCAGACAUGACCGAGACGCUCUCAGUCAAUAACCAUCAGCGGGAUCUGGAUACCCAUGAUGGCUCCCACAUGCUCCUCGAUGUUGUCAUCGGAUGAACCACUAUGUCGAGGAUUCGAUCAAACCCUGUAUGCAAUUCCCUUUGUCAAUCGGUACGUUACUUGCCCGAGACUCGAUCGUCGGUAUCCCAAUACCUUGUUCAGUCUCGUUACCGGCAAGUCACUUUACUCGUACCGUAAUGCAUGAUCCCGUGUCCAACACCUUGGUCACAUUGAGCUCAAUAUGAUGAUGCAUUACCGAGUGGGCCCAGAGAUACCUCUCCGUCAUACGGAGUGACAAAUCCCAGUCUCGAUCCGUGUCAACCCAACAACUACUUUCGGAGAUACCUGUAAUGCACCUUUAUAGUCACCCAGUUACGUUGUGACGUUUGGUACACCCAAAGCACUCUUACGGUAUCCGGGAGUUACACGAUCUCAUGGUCGAAGGAAGAGAUACUUGACACUUGCAAAGCUCUAGCAAAACGAACUACAUGAUCUUUUAUGCUAUGCUUAGGAUUGGGUCUUGUCCAUCACAUCAUUCUCCUAAUGAUGUGAUCCCGUUAUCAACGACAUCCAAUGUCCAUAGUCAGGAAACCAUGACUAUCUGUUGAUCACAACGAGCUGGUCAACUAGAGGCUUACCAGGGACAUAGUGUGGUCUAAGUAUUCACACGUGUAUUACGAUUUCCGGAUAAUACAGUUAUAGCAUGAAUAAAAGACAAUUAUCAUGAACAAUGAAAUAUAAUAAUACUUUUAUUAUUGCCUCUAGGGCAUAUUUCCAACACUUAUGUCCAGUGGCAUAUGUUCGAGGUCUCGUCAUAUGUCCUCUUAUGGCUUGGAGAGUAGUCCGAGUGUACAUGGGGAUGAACGUGGUAUGCUCCGCAUCAUCUCUCCCCCCUUGGGAAAGAUCCGACCUCGGAUCGUGAUCCUCAUCACCAUGGAAACGGUUGUCGUGGACGGACUUGUAGUUGGACGAAGUUGAAGACAUUGCGCAAUCCAAGUACUCCAAGGUGUCUCCGGAGUGAUAGACAUGCAAAAAGAGCAAACACAAGCGACACUCGGAAAUACAAUGGUUAGCGCACACAAAGUGUCCAUCAUGUAAGAAUGAGUCUGUGCGGCAAGAAUGUUCGCGACAAAGCGCAUGAAGCUUAUCAAGAUGAUAUAGAAUGAUAUGCAAAGCAUUCAUGGGAUAAAAUGCAAUCAUUGUGCACACAAAGUUGUGGUAGUUGUCAUGGUGCACAAAGCUACAAAUUCUACCAUUGUGCAAAAUGAUGUCAUAGUGUGAUGGUUUAUCAAGAGCAUGAACAUGGCAAUGGAUGCUCAAUAUGUGUAUGUUAUCAUGCAAUUGAUGGUGGACAAUAUGAUCAUGAUGUAUGAAUAUGCCAUCAAGGAAGAUCACAACAAAUUUGCUAAGGAAAUGCACAAGCUCAUAUAUCAUGGAUGACAUGGAAAUAGAUGCAACAAGGCAAUCAUAAUGUCAGUCAAUCCAUGCACACGGUGAAAACUUGUGGUGAGUAUGAAAUGUCCAUCGAGCAUGACAUGGGGAAGCAUAAUCAACAAAUAUGUAUGUGUUGGUGCAAUGUGUCAAAGGAGUGUUGAUGUACCAAUGCUCGAUGACAUGGCAUGAGUGGAGUUCCGAAGGUGCAUCCAAUAAGUGUGAGCGCUCCUCAAUGUGAAGGUCCAUAGAGUCAAUCUCCAAUGUCGCUCCUCCGUUCGCGAGAUGUAUCAUGUAGACAACAAGAAGAAAACAACAAUGAAAGAUUGACCCAUCCAAUAUGCGUACUCGAGGAUGGCUCAAAGGAAAGGAGUUCACCUUUAUGAGAAUGUCGAAAAUGUUGGUGUCGCGCAUCAUGUACGCCUUCACAUGACCAAGUUGUCUUGUGAUGGUACCGCCUUGUGAAUCCUUCAAAACGAAAGAAUAUGACAAACACUCAGAAAAACAAAUGAGGUUAGCGGAAGUGCAAAACCUAUCAUUCGUGUGGUAAGAUACCCAACAAGUGUAUGCAUCAUGCUCAUCAUAAGAAAGGACAAGGGAGCAUUUCAUAGCAUGGAGGCAUAAGAUGCAAGAACAACCAAAUACAAGUGGCUCAAUCAAACAAGCAUGCAUCACAAGUAAGGUGUCAAAGUCUCCAAGAUCAAUAAGCAUAGUAUGGUUGCACUCAAUACAAGUGGAUAUGAAAGAGGCAACUAAUGGACACAAGAGACAAUGAUCAAGAUAUAUCAUGUGAGAGGUAUGAACAUAUACAUCAUCAACCCAAGAAAGCGAGUAAGAAUGGAACAUGGGUGAUGCAACCAAACAAGUAAUCAUACUGAUCAUGUCAAGCAAGCUAGUAGUGCAAAGAUGCAACAUACUAGAGGUAAUCAUGGCAAUCAUGUCAUGUAUGAAAAUAUUGGGUAUGAAUAAUUCACAUGACAUAACACAAGCAUAAAAGCAAGAUAUGAGGUGAGUAUCAUCAUUGUAUUGGCAAGAAGUCCUAGGUAAAUAGCAAUGGAACAUCAUGACUCUCCCAACACAAGAAUCAACAAUAGCAUGUGGCACAUAGUAAACAUGGCAGUAGCAACAAGUAUCUCCACCAAGCAUGCAAAUACACAUAGAAGUAGCAUAAUGGUGAAUCAUGGGUAGAUGCAAGCAAGUGUCACAAUUACAUGGCAAACUCAUGUAAAGAGGCAUAACAUGCAAAGUGAACACGAUAGUAUGGGCAUAAGGUGACAAGUGGUAAAUAGCCCAUAGUCGUGUGAGAGACAAGUAAAAGAGAUGCGCUUAGGCAUUGCGCGAAGAGAACGGUGGUAAGGACAAUCCACGGGAUCCCAAAUCGUCGUUGCUCUCAAGAGUUUGUUUCGUCAACUCUUGGGAUUGAGAGUUGACGUGUAUACGCGAGUACCUACACAAAACAAAGACAAAGAAAAAAUUAUGUGUGCGUGGUAUAUGUACACAUCAUCCAUCAUGAUGCGUACGUGCUUGUGUUGGUUAGCACAAAAUAUCCAAUGCUCAAAUAAAUGAGAUGCAUGAUAUAGAAACAUGUCAUCCAUCAUGAGAGAUUUGCUGUUAUGUAGAGCAUAAUGGAGACUCAAAGGAUGUACUGCAUCAUGAGAAAUAUCUAGAGCAUUGUUAUUCAUGGAAUGCAUAUGGUGCACGCAAUUAUGGGAAUCAUGCAAAGUAUGGAAUGCAUCAAAAUCUCCUAAUAUGUAUGAGGAAACUAUGGGGGUCUUCUCAUGAGCAUUAGUAGAAACAUCACAUGAAGAAUAUUGACAACAUCCAAAACAAUGCAUAUUUGGAACAAUGUGAUCAUGGCAUUGCAUAGUAGAUGAAUUGCGCAACUCAUGUAAAGGAAGCAUGGCAAUAUCAUCACAUGAAAAAUAAAAGCCAAUGACCAUCAUCUCGUCAUCUAUGCCAUAAGUGCAAAUGGGAUUUUUUAAUGGGGCAUGCAUAGUUACUAUGUUGAGAUUGAAAUGAUGCAAUAUGGGAGAUCUCACUCAUAGCAUAUGACAAGUUUAAAUCAAACAUGACGCGGCCAAUAGAUUUUUCACAUGAUAUCCUAUGAAGCAUAGCAGCACAACCAGGCAACUCAAUAUGCUCAUCAUCAUACUCAUCAUAAAUAGGUAAGUCAUGACAUGAGGAAGUCGCACUAGCAUGAAGCAUGGGAAUGUUGGAAAUAUGCCCUAGAGGCAAUAAUAAAAUGAUUAUUAUUAUAUUUCCUUGUUCAUGAUAAAUUUCUAUUAUUCAUGGUAUAAUUGUGUUAUCCGGAAAUCAUAAUACAUGUGUGAAUACAUAGACCAUAACAUGUCCCUAGUGAGCCUCUAGUUGACUAGCUCGUUGAUCAACAGAUAGUCAUGGUUUCCUGACUAUGGACAUUGGAUGUCACUGAUAACAGGAUCACAUCAUUAGGAGAAUGAUGUGAUGGACAAGACCCAAUCCUAAGCAUAGCACAAGAUCGUGUAGUUCGUUUGCUAGAGCUUUUCCAAUGUAAAGUAUCAUUUCUUUAGACCAUGAGAUCGUGUAACUCCCGGAUGCCGUAGGAGUGCUUUGGGUGUACCAAACGUCUCAACGUAAUUGGGUUACUAUAAAGGUAUACUAUAGGUAUCUCCGAAAGUAUCUGUUGGGUUGACACGGAUCGAGACUGGGAUUUGUCACUCCGUAUGACGGAGAGGUAUCUUUGGGCCCACUCAGUAAUGCAUCAUCAUAAUGAGCUCAAUGUGACCAAGUGUUUGGUCACGGGAUCAUGCAUUACGGUACGAGUAAAGUGACUUGCCGGUAACGAGAUUGAACGAGGUAUUGGGAUAUCGACGAUCGAAUCUCAGGCAAGUAACGUACUAAUUGACAAAGGGAAUUGUAUACGGGAUUACUUGAAUCCUCGACAUCGUGGUUCAUUCGAUGAGAUCAUCGUGGAACACGUGGGAGCCAACAUGAGUAUCCAGAUCCCGCUGUUGGUUAUUGGUGGGAGAGUCGUCUCGGUCAUGUCUGCGUGUCUCCCGAACCCGUAGGGUCUACACACUUAAGGUUCGGUGACGCUAGGGUUAUAGAGAUAUUAGUAUGCGGUAACCCGAAAGUUGUUCAGAGUCCCGGAUGAGAUCCUGGACGUCAUGAGGAGUUCCGGAAUGGUCCGGAGGUGAAGAAUUGUAUAUAGGAAGUCCAGUUUCGGCCACCGGGAAAGUUUCGGGGGUUACCGGUAUUGUACCGGGACCACCGAAAGGGUCCCGGGGGUCCACCGGGUGGGGCCACCUAUCCCGGAGGGCCCCAUGGGCUGAAGUGGGAGGGGAACCAGCCCCUGGUGGGCUGGUGCGCUCCCCUUGGGCCUCCCCCUGCGCCUAGGGUUGGAAACCCUAGGGGUGGGGGGCGCCCCACUUGGCUUGGGGGGCAAGCCCCCCCCUUGGCCGCCGCCCCCCUUGAGAUUCAAUCUCUAGGGGGUCGGCGCCCCCCCAGGGCCCCUAUAUAAAGAGGGAGGAGGGAGAGUUGUGCACCCCAGCUCCUGGCGCCUCCCUCUCCCCUUGUAACACCUCUUCCUCUCGCUGAGCUUGGCGAAGCCCUGCCGAGAUCGCCGCUACUUCCACCACCACGCCGUCGUGCUGCUGGAUCUCCAUCAACCUCUCCCUUCCCCUUGCUGGAUCAAGAAGGAGGAGACGUCUUCCCCAACCGUACGUGUGUUGAACGGGGAGGUGCCGUCCGUUCGGCGCUAGGAUCAUCGGUGAUUUGGAUCACGACGAGUACGACUCCUUCAACCCCGUUCUCUUGAACGCUUCCGCGCGUGAUCUACAAGGGUAUGUAGAUGCACUCCUCUCUCUCGUUGCUAGAUGACUCCAUAGAUUGAUCUUGGUGAAGCAUAGAAAUUUUUUAUUUUCUGCAACGUUCCCCAACAGUGGCAUCAUGAGCUAGGUCUAUGCGUAGUUUCUAUGCACGAGUAGAACACAAUCUUGUUGUGGGCGUAAAUGUUGUCAAUUUUCUUGCCACUACUAGUCUUAUCUUGUUUCGGCGGCAUCAUGGGAUGAAGCGGCCCGGACCGACCUUACACGUACGCUUACGUGAGACAGGUUCCACCGACUAACAUGCACUAGUUGCAUAAGGUGGCUAGAGGGUGUCUGUCUCUCCCACUUUAGUCGGAUCAGAUUCGAUGAAAAGGGUCCUUAUGAAGGGUAAAUAGAAAUUGGCAUAUCACGUUGUGGUUUUACGUAGGUAAGAAACGUUCUUGCUAGAACCCUAUUGCAGCCACGUAAAAACUUGCAACAACAAUUAGAGGACGUCUAACUUGUUUUUGCAGCAUAUGCCUUGUGAUGUCAUAUGGCCAAAAGGAUGUGAUGAAUGAAAUAUAUGUGAUGUAUGAGAUUGAUCAUGUUCUUGUAAUAGGAAUCACGACUUGCAUGUCGAUGAGUAUGACAACCGGCAGGAGCCAUAGGAGUUGUCUUUAUUUUUUGUAUGACCUGCGUGUCAUUGAAUAACGCCAUGUAAAUUACUUUACUUUAUUGCUAAACCGUUAGCCAUAGAAGUAGAAGUAAUCGUUGGUGUGACAACUUCAUGAAGACACGAUGAUGGAGAUCAUGGUGUCAUGCCGGUGACGAUGAUGAUCAUGGCGCCCCAAAGAUGGAGAUCAAAAGGAGCAAAAUGAUAUUGGCCAUAUCAUGUCACUAUAUGAUUGCAUGUGAUGUUUAUCAUGUUUUUGCAUCUUAUUUGCUUAGAACGACGGUAGUAAAUAAGAUGAUCCCUCACAAUAAUUUCAAGAAAGUGUUCCCCCUAACUGUGCGCCGUUGUGAAAGUUGUUUCGAAGCACCACGUGAUGAUCGGGUGUGAUAGAUUCCAACGUCCACAUACAACGGGUGUAAGACAGAUUUACACAUGCAAAACACUUAGGUUGACUUGACGAGCCUAGCAUGUACAGACAUGGCCUCAGAACACAAGAGACCGAAAGGUCAAACAUGAGUCGUAUGGAAGAUACGAUCAACAUGGAGAUGUUCAUCGAUGAUGACUAGUCCGUCUCACGUGAUGAUCGGACACGGUCUAGUUGAGUCGGAUCAUGUAUCACUUAGAUGACUAGAGGGAUGUCUAAUCUGAGUGGGAGUUCAUUAAAUAAUUUGAUUAGAUGAACUUAAUUAUCAUGAACUUAGUCUAAAAACCUUUGCAAAAUUUCUUGUAGAUCAAAUGGCCAAUGCUCAUGUCAACCUCAACUUCAACGCGUUCCUAGAGAAAACCAAGCUGAAAGAUGAUGGCAGCAACUAUAUGGACUGGGUCCGGAACCUGAGGAUCAUCCUCAUAGCUGCCAAGAAAGCAUAUGUCCUAGAAGCACCGCUAGGUGAAGCACCCAUCCCAGAGAACCAAGACGUUAUGAACGCUUGGCAGUCGCGUGCUGAUGAUUACUCUCUCGUUCAAUGCGGCAUGCUUUAUAGCUUAGAACCGGGGCUCCAACAACGUUUUGAGCAACACAGAGCAUAUGAGAUGUUCGAAGAGCUGAAAAUGGUUUUCCAAGCUCAUGCCCGAGUCGAGAGAUAUGAAGUCUCCGACAAGUUCUACAGUUGUAAGAUGGAGGAAAAUAGUUCUACUCAGUGAGCACAUACUCAAAAUGUCUGGGUUGCACAACCGCUUGUCCCAGCUGGACAUUAACCUCCCGGACGAGGCGGUCAUUGACAGAAUCCUUCAGUCGCUCCCACCUAGCUACAAGAGCUUUGUGAUGAACUACAAUAUGCAGGGGAUGGUGAAAACUAUUCCUGAAGUAUUUUCAAUGCUGAAAUCAGCGGAGGUGGAAAUCAAAAAGGAACAUCAAGUGUUGAUGGUCAAUAAAACCACAAGUUUCAAGAAAGGCAAGGGUAAGAAGAACUUCAAGAAGGACGGCAAGGGAGUUGCCGCGACCGGUAAGCCAGUUGCCGGGAAGAAGCCAAAGAAUGGACCCAAACCUGAGACUGAGUGCUUUUAUUACAAGGGAAAGGGACACUGGAAGCAGAACUGCCCCAAAUACUUAGCAGACAAGAAGGCCGACAACACUAAAGGUAUAUGUGAUAUACAUGUAAUUGAUGUGUACCUUACCAGUGCUCGUAGUAGCUCCUGGGUAUUUGAUACCGGUGCGGUUGCUCAUAUUUGUAACUCAAAACAGGAGCUGCGGAGGCUGGCGAAGGACGAGGUGAUGAUUCGCGUCGGGAAUGGUUCCAAGGUAGAUGUGAUCGCCGUCGGCACGCUACCUCUACAUUUACCUACUGGGUUAGUUUUAAACCUCAAUAAUUGUUAUUUAGUGCCAGAUUUGAGCAUGAACAUUAUAUCUGGAUCUCGUUUAAUACGAGAUGGCUACUCAUUUAAAUCCGAGAAUAAUGGUUGUUCUAUUUAUAUGAGAGCUAUGUUUUAUGGUCAUGCCCCGCUGGUCAAUGGUUUAUUCUUAAUGAAUCUCGAACGUGAUGUUACACAUAUUCAUAGUGUGAAUACCAAAAGAUGUAAAGUUGAUAACGAUAGUCCCACAUACUUGUAGCACUGCCGCCUUGGUCACAUUGGUGUCAAACGCAUGAAGAAGCUCCAUGCUGAUGGACUUUUGGAGUCUCUUGAUUAUGAAUCAUUUGACACAUGCGAACCAUGCCUUAUGGGUAAAAUGACCAAGACUCCGUUCUUCGGAACAGUGGAGCGAGCAACCAACUUAUUGGAAAUUAUACAUACUGAUGUGUGCGGUGCAAUGAGCGUUGAGGCUCGCGGUGGCUAUCGUUAUGUUCUCACUCUCACUGAUGACUUAGGUAGAUAUGGGUAUGUCUACUUGAUGAAACACAAGUCUGAGACCUUUGAAAAGUUCAAGGAAUUUCAGAAUGAGGUAGAGAAUCAACGUGACCGAAAGAUCGUGGGGGAGAAUACUUAAGUCACGACUUUGGUACGCACUUAAGGAAAUGUGGAAUCGUUUCACAACUCAUGCCGCCUGGAACACCUCAGCAUAACGGUGUGUCCGAACAUCGUAAUCGCACUCUAUUGGAUAUGGUGCGAUCUAUGAUGUCACUCACCGAUUUACCGCUAUCAUUUUGGGGAUACGCUCUAGAGACAGCUACAUUCACUUUAAAUAGGGCACCAUCUAAAUCCGUUGAGACGACACCGUAUGAAUUAUGGUUUGGGAAGAAACCUAAGCUGUCGUUUCUAAAAGUUUGGGGAUGCGAUGCUUAUGUCAAGAAACUUCAACCUGAAAAGCUCGAACCUAAGUCAGAAAAAUGCGUCUUCAUAGGAUACCCUAAGGAAACCAUUGGGUAUACCUUCUACCUCAGAUCCGAAGGCAAGAUCUUUGUUGCCAAGAAUGGGUCCUUUCUGGAGAAAGAGUUUCUCUCGAAAGAAGUAAGUGGGAGGAAAGUGGAACUUGAUGAAGUACUACCUCUUGAACCGGUAAGUAGCGCAACUCAGGAAGAUGUUCCUGUGGUGCCUGCACCGACUAGAGAGGAAAUUAAUGAUGAUGAUCAAGGUACUUCGGAUCAAGUUACUACGGAACUUCGUAGGUCCACGUGGACACGUUCCACACCAGAGUGGUAUGGCAACCCUGUCCUGGAAAUCAUGUUGUUAGACAACGGUGAACCUUCGAACUAUGAAGAAGCAAUGGCAGGCCCAGAUUCCAACAAAUGGCUUGAAGCCAUGCAAUCCGAGAUAGGAUCCAUGUAUGAAAACAAAGUGUGGACUUUGACAGACUUGCCCGAUGAUCGGAGAGCGAUAGAAAACAAAUGGAUCUUUAAGAAGAAGACGGACGCGGAUGGUAAUGUUACCAUCUAUAAAGCUCGACUUGUCACUAAGGGUUAUCGACAAGUUAAAGGGGUUGACUAUGAUGAGACUUUCUCUCCCGUAGCGAAGCUGAAGUCCGUACGAAUCAUGUUAGCAAUUGCCGCAUACUAUGAUUAUGAGAUAUGGCAAAUGGACGUCAAAAUGACAUUCCUUAACGGCUAUCUUAAGGAAGAACUAUAUAUGAUGCAGCCGGAAGGUUUUGACGAUCCUGAGAAUGCUAACAAAGUAUGCAAGUUCCAGCGCUCCAUCUAUGUGAUGGUGUAAGCAUCUCGGAGUUGGAACAUUCGCUUUAAUAAAAUGAUCAAAGCGUUUGGGUUUAUGCAGACUUAUGGAGAAGCAUGCAUUUACAAGAAAGUGAGUGGGAGCUCUGUAGCAUUUCUCAUAUUAUAUGUGGAUGACACUUUUGAUGGGAAAUGAUAUAGAACUUUUGGACAACAUUAAGGCCUACUUGAAUAAGUGUUUUUCAAUGAAGGACCUUGGAGAAGCUGCUUACAUAUUAGGCAUCAAAAUCUAUAGAGAUAGAUCGAGACGCCUCAUAGGUCUUUCACAAAGCACAUACCUUGACAAGAUAUUGAAGAAGUUCAAUAUGGAUCAGUCCAAGAAGGGGUUCUUGCCUGUGUUGCAAGGUGUGAAAUUGAGCUCGGCUCAAUGUCCGACCAUGAUAGAAGAUAGAGAAAAGAUGAGUGUCGUCCCCUAUGCCUCGGGCAUGGGGUCUAUCAUGUAUGCCAUGCUGUGUACCAGACCUGAUGUAAACCUUGCCGUAAGUUUGGUAGGAAGGUACCAAAGUAAUCCCGACAUGGAACACUCGACAGCGGUCAAGAAUAUCCUGAAGUACCUGAAAAGGACUAAGGAUAUGUUUCUCGUUUAUGGAGGUGACAAAGAGCUCGUCAUAAAGGGUUAUGUCGACGCUAGCUUCGACACAGAUCUGGAUGACUCUAAGUCACAAACCGGAUACGUGUAUAUUUUGAAUGGAGGGGCAGUAAGCUGGUGCAGUUGCAAGCAAAGCGUCGUGGCGGGAUCUACAUGUGAAGCGGAGUACAUGGCAGCCUCGGAGGCAGCACAUGAAGCAAUCUGGAUGAAGGAGUUAAUUACCGACCUAUGAGUCAUACCCAAUGCGUCGGGGCCGAUCACUCUCUUCUGUGACAACACUGGAGCUAUUGCCCUUGCCAAGGAGCCUAGGUUUCACAAGAAGACCAGGCACAUCAAGCGUCGCUUCAACUCCAUUCGUGAAAAUGUUCAAGAUGGAGACAUAGAUAUUUGCAAAGUGCAUACGGAUCUGAAUAUCGCAGAUCCGUUGACUAAACCUCUUCCGCGAGCAAAACAUGAUCAACACCAGAACUCUAUGGGUGUUCGAUUCAUCACAAUGUAACUAGAUUAUUGACUCUAGUGCAAGUGGGAGACUGUUGGAAAUAUGCCCUAGAGGCAAUAAUAAAAUGAUGAUUAUUAUAUUUCCUUGUUCAUGAUAAUUGUCUAUUAUUCAUGCUAUAACUGUGUUAUCCGGAAAUCAUAAUACAUGUGUGAAUACAUAGACCGUAACAUGUCCCUAGUGAGCCUCUAGUUGACUAGCUCGUUGAUCAACAGAUAGUCAUGGUUUCCUGACUAUGGACAUUGGAUGUCAUUGAUAACGGGAUCACAUCAUUAGGAGAAUGAUGUGAUGGACAAGACCCAAUCCUAAGCAUAGCACAAGAUCGUGUAGUUCGUUUGCUAGAGCUUUUCCAAUGUCAAGUAUCAUUUCUUUAGACCAUGAGAUCGUGUAACUCCCGGAUGCCGUAGGAGUGCUUUGGGUGUAGCAAACGUCACAACGUAACUGGGUGACUAUAAAGGUAUACUACAGGUAUCCCCGAAAGUAUCUGUUGGGUUGACACGGAUCGAGACUUGGAUUUGUCACUCCGUAUGACGGAGAGGUAUCUCUGGGCCCACUCGGUAAUGCAUCAUCAUAAUGAUCUCAAUGUGACCAAGUGUUUGGUCAUGGGAUCAUGCAUUACGGUACGAGUAAAGUGACUUGCCGGUAACGAGAUUGAAUGAGGUAUUGGGAUACCGACGAUCGAAUCUCAGGCAAGUAACAUGUCGAUUGACAAAGGGAAUUGUAUACGUGAUUACUUGAAUCCUCGACAUCGUGGUUCAUUCGAUGAGAUCAUCAUGGAACACGUGGGAGCCAACAUGGGUAUCCACAUCCCGUUGUUGGUUAUUGGCUGGAGAGUCGUCUCGGUCAUGUGUGCGUGUCUCCCGAACCCGCAGGGUCUACACACUUAAGGUUCGGUGACGCUAGGGUUGUAGAGAUAUUAGUAUGCGGUAACCCGAAAGUUGUUCGGAGUCCCGGAUGAGAUCUCGGACGCCACGAGGAGUUCCGGAAUGGUCCGGAGGUGAAGAAUUGUAUAUAGGAAGUCCAGUUUCGUCCACCGGGAAAGUUUCGGGGGUCACCGGUAUUGUACCGGGACCACCGGAAGGGUCCCAGGGGUCCACCGGGUGGGGCCACCUACCUCGGAGGGCCCCAUGGGAUGAAGUGGGAGGGGAACCAGCCCCUGGUGGGCUGGUGCGCCCCCCUUGGGCCUCCCCCUACGCCUAGGGUUGGAAACCCUAGUGGUGGGGGCGCCCCACUUGGCUUGGGGGGCAAGCCCCCCCCCCCUUGGCCGCCCCCCCUUGAGAUUCAAUCUCUAGGGGGCCGGCGCCCCCCAGGGCCCCUAUAUAAAGAGGGGUGAGGGAGGGCUGCGCACCCCAGCUCCUGGCGCCUCCCUCUCCCCUCGUAACACCUCUCCCUCUCGUUGAGCUUGGCGAAGCCCUGCCGAGAUCGCCGCUACUUCCACCACCACGCCGUCGUGCUGCUGGAUCUCCAUCAACCUCUCCCCCCCCCUUGCUGGAUCAAGAAGGAGGAGACGUUGGUGAUUUGGAUCAUGACGAGUACGACUCCUUCAACCCCGUUCUCUUGAACGCUUCCGCGCGUGAUCUACAAGGGUAUGCAGAUGCACCCCUCUCUCUCGUUGCUAGAUGACUCCAUAGAUUGAUCUUGGUGAAGCGUAGAAUUUUUUUUAUUUUCUGCAAUGUUCCCCAACAGGGAAUAGGUGGGUCAACAUCAUGCAAGCAAUCAUUGGUAAGAUAGUCCACUGGUGGGACAAGAGAACUACCAUCACCUAUUUUACCUGUGGAGCGUCGCUCAUGUGUUGUAGGUGAGGUGUCGAAGAUCCAUUCGUUGUCAUCUUCAUCUUGAUGGAACCAUGUGGGGGGUACAUCAUCGUCCACCAUGGCCAUCGUAGUCUUCAUUGGAGGGAUGGACUCGUCGAGGGUAGGCAUGUCUUCAUGUAGUAGACCUAGCACCAAAGAAGAAAACACACUAGGAGUAGAGGUUAAGUCAUUAGAAAUCAUAGUGGCUUCACAUGCCGUCUCAACUACCUCACUCACUAAGUGGUGUGGCUCACUCACUCCCUCAAGGAUGCACUCACUCAUAUGGUUGGUGGAGUCACUCAAAUGGCUCUCAACCUCACAUAGGAUGUGUGGCAUGCUCUCAUGUGUGGGGCUACUGGUGGUCACACUCAUCCUCUCAUAGGAAAUGCACUCAAUGUCACAUAUGGUGGAGUCACUCAUCUCACUCAUGGGAUGGUGGCUUUCCUCACAUGACAAAUGGGUCAUCUCGACAUAUGUGGGUGUCGGAUAGAUGUAGGUGCAAAUGUCUCCAUGUGCGGUCGCGUAGCUUGACUCGGAGUAUGAGUCCAAUGUGGGCGCCUCUUCAUGUUGUUGAAGAGGUUCGCGCUUGUCGCCGUGGUCGAAGGGGAUGGACCUUGCUUGACUGCCUUAUCACCGUCUUGGUGUGGGAGGCCCAUAUGAUGUGGCACCUCGUAGCUCGUCUCCAUGACCGAAGGGAAUUUCCCAUGCUCAGUCAUCUUCCUUGUGGGGCUUUCGAAGAUGGAAGUGUCGCCCUCGCUUGUAGGUGGUCGCCUUUUUGUUGAAGAUGUCAAUUUAGGCGAACUCGUGGGAAGUAGGCGAAGAUGUUGUACGUCCAAAGGCGAAGAUGCCUUGAUAGACUUGGCGAAGAUGCCGAAGUGGUGGUGGUAGUUGUAGCUCCGUCUUGGUGGUGCUCGUCUUGCGGUCUUCUUUUUUGCUCAUGAAGCUUGGACUUGGUGUGAAGUAGGACUUGUUGGGACUUGUACGUUUGCGCUUGGCGAGCAUCUUCAUGAUGAUGGUGUCAUUGUCGUGCUUGAGCUCGUAGUAGAUGUCGUUCGUCGCCGUCGUGCACAUGAUGCUUGGAGGUGACUUUCCCUUCAUGACGAUGUGGAUCACGAAUGUGAUGGUGGUCGCCAUGUAGAUGUUGACGUGGACGAAUUGCGCUUGCGUCGCAUGGGCGCUCCGAAGAUGAUCAACUUGGUCGUCGCCGCCUUGAAGAUGACGAAGGGGAAGUAGACUUGAUUAAGGCCCAAAUCUCCUCCAUCCUUGCAUCUUGCUCCUCCUUUUGUGUGAAAAGCUUGUUGUCGAUGUAGUCCCUUUUCCUAGCUUCAGAGUGAUGAAUGUCGAUGGAGAGGUACUCGAUGCGCUCUCGCAAGGUAGAAUGUGCGCCUUGCAUUUGUUGUUGUAGAUCGAAGAGUGAUGAUUUGGUGAUGUAGUUGUUCAGUCCAUCAUUAUUGUCGUAGACAGGAGAUGAAAUGCCUUCCCUAUACAUCACAAGACUCGAGCAAAUAUGAGUGGAAGAAAGGAGAGAACUAUACCAAAUGUACCUUGACCGUUGUUGAAAAUGGAUCAAUGAUCACUCAAUGAUGUAACAAGGAAAUAACACAAUUGGUACCGAUCUCGUCAAUUUCUCACACCUACACAAGUAAGGCUUAUGAUGGAGCUCGGUGAGGAUAGUGGCACAAAAAAAUUUGAUGCAAAAUGUUAGCAAGAGUCAAUAAUGUUGAAACAGAUUUACAAAUUCGCAAACGAAACAAGUAGACCAAUAGCAAUGAAUGGCACACGGAAACACACACGCGGAUAGAUAGAUGGGGUCGUGCAACCAAGGAAUGAGCACAAAAUAUGGAAUCCACAAAAAACGCUCGUGUUGCACAACUCAAGAGAGACGCUAGCACGAUUGCUUAAAAGGCGGAUACGACACUUGUGCACAACCUAUAAGAUGCAAAAUGUAGCAACUUUCUAUCCCAAGUAUGCUAUGUAUGUAUGGUUCCCAGUGUUUCUCACAAGAUGAUCCAAGAUGAUCGGAUAUGACAAUCUUAUAUGUAAUGUGGUAUGAUGCUAUGGCACUUGCUUACAAGCUUCUUUGCUCUUUCUCUUUUUCUUUUGCUUAAAAGCUUAUUCCUUUUUUUGUAUGGCCACUUUUGCACAAUGCACAAACCAAGAUAGCAAUAGUGUAUAUGCGGGAACAAACUUGUGACGCAAGAGAUAAUAUGAUACCAAGAUGACACCAAUAUGAUAUGGUAUGUAUGCAAUGGAAGGUGUAGACAAAUGAUCACUAAUGUGCACAAGUAACGUUGCCGGCAAUACUCAAUGACUAGUCUCGAUAGGCAAGUGAUGCAAAAUGGGCUAGGGGUUAACAAUACAAAGGCAAGGAGAAUGUACAAUGAUGUCGUCGAGGUUACCGUCCGUGUCAAUGAUGAGAGGCGGUGUUGUCGAUGUUGACCCAUUCCUAAUUAGCCGAAACACCUUAGGAAACGGAAAAACCGUAAACUCAAAAUCUCAAACAUCAAAUGUCAAAUGAUGGUAGCGGAAAGCGAUGGUAGUUUGCACUUGGCAAUGCAGAAGUGGAAUGAUGGUCUAUACACGUGUCGGAGUUGAAGUUGCCGUCCCUAAGUAGCCGAAACACCUUAGGAGACACAAGCCACAACUCAAACGAGCUCAAACAACAAUUGAAUUAAGUUGGGGUGGCGAAAGUGUAUGGUGGGCAAUGGGUAUGCGGAAGUGGAGGUGAUGGUUGAUUAAGAAGCAACCGUCCCUAAGUAGUCUAAACACCUUAGGAGACUCGAAUCGCUACUCAAGCAACCACUAAUGCUAUGGUGAACAAAAUGGGUUAGGUUGCGGAAGUCGGUGGUGGUACAGUGGAGGAUGUGGUGGAAGCCCUAGGCAAAUAUGCCAAAGUACCAAACAUUUGAUGGGGUCAAAUGGUGUUGGUGGUAUUUUUGUGGGAUAGGGCAUGUCAAUAGCUUCAAAACGAGCUAAAGAACGUCAAAAUCGGAGUUCGGAUGAAUUAGUUAUGGGCAAAACAAAAAUCAACCGAAGUCAGUUUUCACAGGGGUCGGACGUCCGAUAAUGGUCGGACGACCGGUGGCUGGAACGCGGGACGGACGUGCAGAAAUGGCCGGAAAUCCGAUGUUUUGGUACUGGAUCGAGGGUGUCGGACGUCCGGUAAGUGUCGGUCAUCCGAUGGUUCCAGGGGCUCUGGACGUCCGGAAAAACGUCGGUCGUCCGGUGGGUCAGGGUCAACUCGAGAUCCGAGUUUCGGGACACGAUUUUGGGCGGAAAAUGGAGAUUUCAGGGCCACAAUUGAUGAGAUUUCGUGGAUGGAAAGAUGGGGAAACUUGGGAAGAUGCUAUAGCCACUUGAAACCAAGCAAAUUCAUGGAUCACAAUCAACAAAACAUCAUCAAACCAAGAAAUCACAAAAAAAAAUUGGAGCUAUUUUUUAUGGGCAUUUUCGAAAUUGGGGAAGAACACAACAAAACUAAGCUAGAAAACACGGGGUAGGGGCUCCAAAUACGUGAUCAACGUGGCUCAUGAUAGCAAGAUGAUGUAGUGUAGAACCCUAGAUGCCCGAUCUUCCACGAUUGGAGGGAUCCUAUGAAGAACACGAGGGGGAAAACGAGGGGAACACGAGGGAAACAAGAGAGAAAUCGCUCAACCAACAAGGUAUGGUUACACAUGUGCUAGAUCCUCGAAACACAAAGAGAGAUACACGAUUCAAACUCAAUAAGGGGCGAUACAAGGGGUCUUCUCCGUGAGGAGGUCUUGAAGGGUCUUCCCGUAAAGGGUCUUGAAUCUGCUUGGGGGAUCUUCUCCGAAGAGGCGCUCGGCUCCGAUGGAGAAGUAACCAAGUGGAUGAGCAAAGCUCUAUCUCAAAUAUGAGCUAUCACAAUGCUAACCCUAACCUGGAGGAGGUGGAGGAGUAUAUAUAGUCUAGGUCCAUGAAGGGGUAAGUGGGAGAGGGAUACAUGGGACUCAGGCCCGAUCUCUGUGCGCAGACACGCGUCGAACGUCCGGCAGCUGCCGGUCGUCCGGUCGCUCGCGAGCGUCCGGUCGUCCGAAAGUUCGGAAGUCUUCGGACUUCCGAUGUUUUGGCUCUAAUCCGGUAGUGUCGGACAUCCGGUCGGCGUCGGUCAUCCGGGCGCAGAUGAGUGUCGGACGUCCGGUGUCGGGCAGUCGUCCGGGCGCUGAUGAGUGUCGGACGUCCGGUGUCGGGUGUUGGAGAACGUAGUAAUUUCAAAAAAAUUCCUACGCACACACAAGAUCAUGGUGAUGCAUAGCAACGAGAGGGGAGAGUGUUGUCCACAUACCCUCGUAGACCGAAAGCGGAAGCGUUAGAACAACGCGGUUAAUGUAGUCGUACGUCUUCACGGCCCGACCGAUCAAGCACCGAAACUACGGCACCUCCGAGUUCUAGCACACGUUCAGCUCGAUGACGAUCCCCGGACUCCGACCCAGCAGAAUGUCGGGAAAGAGUUCCAUCAGCACGACGGCGCGGUGACGAUCUUGAUGUUCUACCGUCGCAGGGCUUCGCCUAAGCACCGCUACAAUAUUAUCGAGGACUAUGGUGGAGGGGGGCACCGCACACGGCUAAGAGAUCAAGAGAUCAAUUGUUGUGUCUUAGAGGUGCCCCCUGCCCUCGUAUAUAAAGGAGCCAAGGGGGAGGGGGCGGCCGGCCAAGGAGGGGCGCGCCAAGGGGAGUCCUACUCCCACCGGGAGUAGGACUCCCUUCUUUCCUAGUUGGAAUAGGAGAAGGGGGGAAGGAGGAGGGAGAGAGGAAGGAAAGGGGGGGGGGCGCCCCCCUCUCUUUGUCCUAUUCGGACUAGGGGGGAGGGGAGCGCGGCCCAGCCCUUGCCUCCUCUCCUCCUCUCCACUAGGGCCCAUGUAGGCCCAUUAAGCCCCCGGGGGGUUCCGGUAACCUCCCGGUACUCCGGUAAAAUCCCGAUUUCACCCGGAACACUUCCGAUAUCCAAAUAUAGGUUUCCAAUAUAUCAAUCUUCAUGUCUCGACCAUUUCGAGACUCCUUGUCACGUCCGUAAUCUUAUCCGGGACUCCGAACAAACUUCGGUACAUCAAAACUCAUAAACUCAUAAUAUAACUGUCAUCGAAACCUUAAGCGCGAGGACCCUACGGGUUCGAGAACUAUGUAGACAUGACCGAGACUCGUUUCCGAUCAAUAACCAAUAGCGGAACCUGGAUGCUCAUAUUGGUUCCUACAUAUUCUACGAAAAUCUUUAUCGGCCGGACCGCAUAACAACAUAUGUUGUUCCCUUUGUCAUCGGUAUGUUACUUGCCCGAGAUUCGAUCGUCGGUAUCCAAUACCUAGUUCAAUCUCGUUACCGGCAAGUCUCUUUACUCGUUACGUAAUGCAUCAUUCCGUAACUAACUCAUUAGCUACAUUGCUUGCAAGGCUUAUAUUGAUGUGCAUUACCGAGAGGGCCCAGAGAUACCUCCCCGAUAGUCGGAGUGACAAAACCUAAUCUCGAAAUACGCCAACUCAACAUGUACCUUUGGAGACACCUGUAGAGCUCCUUUAUAAUCACCCAGUUACGUUGUGACGUUUGGUAGCACACAAAGUGUUCCUCUGGUAAACGGGAGUUGCAUAAUCUCAUAGUUGUAGGAACAUGUAUAAGUCAUGAAGAAAGCAAUAGCAACAUACUAAACAAUCAAGUGCUAAGCUAACGGAAUGGGUCAUGUCAAUCACAUCAUUCUUCUAAUGAUGUGAUCCCGUUAAUCAAAUGACAACUCAUGUCUAUGGUUAGGAAACAUAACCAUCUUUGAUUAAUGAGCUAGUCAAGUAGAGGCAUACUAGUGACAUUAAGUUUGUCUAUGUAUUCACACAUGUAUCAUGUUUUCGGUUAAUACAAUUCUAGCAUGAAUAAUAAACAUUUAUCAUGAAAUAAGGAAAUAAAUAAUAACUUUAUUAUUGCCUCUAGGGCAUAUUUCCUUCAGUCUUCCACUUGCACUAGAGUCAAUAAUCUAGUUCACAUUGCCAUGUGAUUUAACACCAAUAUUCAUAUCUGUAUAUGAUUAACACUCAUAGUUCACAUCGUCAUGUGACCAACACCCAAAGGGUUUACUAGAGUCAAUAAUCUAGUUCACAUAACUAUGUGAUUAACACCCAAAGAGUACUGAGGUGUGAUCAUGUUUUGCUCAUGAGAGAAGCUUAGUCAACGGGUCUGUCACAUUCAGAGCCGUAUGUAUUUUGCAAAUAUUCUAUGUCUACAAUGCUCUGCACGGAGCUACUCUAGCUAAUUGCUCCCACUUUCAAUAUGUAUCCAGAUUGAGACUUAGAGUCAUCUGGAUCAGUGUAAAAGCUUGCACCGAUGUAACUCUUUACGAUGGGCUCUUUUAUCACCUCCAUAAUCGAGAAAUAUUUCCUUAGUCCUUACUAAGGAUAUUCUUGACCAAUGUCCAGUGAUCUACUCCUAGAUCACUAUUGUACUCCCUUGCCAAAUAUAGAGCAAGGUAUACAAUAGGUCUGGUACAUAGCAUAGCAUACUUUAUAGAACCUAUGAUUGAGUCAUAGGGAAUGACUUUCAUUCUCUUUUCUAUUUUCUGCCGUGGUCGGGAUUUGAGUCUUACUCAAUUUCACACCUUUGAAACACAGGCAAUAACUCUUUCUUUGCCCGAUCCAUUUUGAACUUUUUCAAAACUUUAUCAAGGUAUGUGCUUUGUGGAAGUCCAAUCAAGCGUCUUGAUCUAUCUCUAUAGAUCUUGAUGCCCAAUAUGUAAGCAGCUUCACCGAGCUCUUUCAUCGAAAAACUUUUAUUCAAGUAUCCCUUUAUGCUAUCCAAAAAUUCUAUAUCAUUUACAAUUAACAAUAUGUCAUCUACAUAUAAUAUCAGAAAUGCUACAGAGCUCCCACUCACUUUCUUGUAAAUACAGGCUUCUCCAAAAGUCUGUAUAAAACCAUAUGCUUUGAUCACACUAUCAAAGCGCUUAUUCCAACUCCGAGAUGCUUGCACCAGUCCAUAAAUGGAUCGCUGGAGCUUGCACACUUUGUUAGCACCUUUUGGAUCGACAAAACCUUCUGGUUGCAUCAUAUACAACUCUUCUUUAAUAAAUCCAUUAAAGAAUGCAGUUUUGACAUCCUUUUGCCAGAUUUCAUAAGAUGUGGCAAUUGCUAACAUGAUUCGGACAGACUUUAAGCAUUGAUACGAGUGAGAAAAAAACUCAUCGUAGUCAACAUCUUGAACUUUGUCAAAAACCUUUUUCGACAAAUCUAGCUUUGUAGAUAGUAACACCACUAUCAACGUCCGUCUUCCUCUUGAAGAUCCAUUUAUUUUCUAUGGCUUGCCGAUCAUCGGGCAAGUCAAUCAAAGUCCACACUUUGUUCUCAUACAUGGAUCCCAUCUCAGAUUUCAUGGCCUCAAGCCAUUUUGCGGAAUCUGGGCUCAUCAUCACUUCCUCAUAGUUCGUAGGUUCGCCAUGGUCAAGUAACAUGACUUCCAGAAUAGGAUUACCGUACCACUCUGGUGCGGAUCUUACUAUGGUAGACCUACGAGGUUUGGUAGUAACUUGAUCUGAAGUUUCAUGAUCAAUAUCAUUAGCUUCCUCACUAAUUGGUGUAGUUGUCACAAGAACCGGUUCUUGUGAUGAACUACUUUCCAAUAAGGGAGCAGGCACAGUUACCUCAUCAAGUUCUACUUUCCUCCCACUCACUUAUUUCGAGAGAAACUCCUUCUCUAGAAAGGAUCCAAAUUUAGCAACAAAAAUCUUGCCCUCAAAUCUGUGAUAGAAGGUGUACCCAAUAGUCUCUUUUGGGUAUCCUAUGAAGACACAUUUCUCUGAUUUGGGUUCGAGCUUAUCUGGUUGAAGUUUCUUCACAUAAGCAUCGCAGCCCCAAACUUUAAGAAACGACAACUUUGGUUUCUUGCCAAACCACAGUUCAUAAGGCGUCGUCUCAACGGAUUUUGAUGGUGCCCUAUUUAACGUGAAUGCGGCCGUCUCUAAAGCAUAACCCCAAAACGAUAGCGGUAAAUCAGUAAGACACAUCAUAGAUCGCACCAUAUCUAGUAAAGUAUGGUUACGAUGUUCGGACACACCAUUUCGUUGUGGUGUUCCGGGUGGCGUGAGUUGCGAAACUAUUCCGCAUUGCUUCAAAUGUAAACCAAACUUGUAACUCAAAUAUUCUCCUCCACGAUCAGAUCAUAGAAAUUUUAUUUUCUUGUUACAAUGAUUUUGCACUUCACUCUGAAAUUCUUUGAACUUUUCAAAUGUUUCAGACUUGUGUUUCAUCAAGUAGAUAUACCCAUAUCUGCUCAAAUCAUCUGUGAAGGUGAGAAAAUAAUGAUACCCGCCGCGAGCCUUAAUAUUCAUUGGACCACAUACAUCAGUAUGUAUGAUUUCCAACAAAUCAGUUGCUCGCUCCAUAGUUCCGGAGAACGGCGUUUUAGUCAUCUUGCCCAUGAGGCACGGUUCGCAAGUACCAAGUGAUUCAUAAUCAAGUGAUUCUAGAAGUCCAUCAGUAUGGAGUUUCUUCAUGCGCUUUACACCAAUAUGACCCAAACGGCAGUGCCACAAAUAAGUUGCACUAUCAUUAUCAACUCUGCAUCUUUUGGCUUCAACAUUAUGAAUAUGUGUAUCACUACUAUCGAGAUUUAAUAAAAAUAGACCACUCUUCAAGGGUGCAUGACCAUAAAAUAUAUUACUCAUAUAAAUAGAACAACCAUUAUUCUCUGAUUUAAAUGAAUAACCGUCUCACAUCAAACAACAUCCAGAUAUAAUGUUCAUGCUUAACGCUGGCACCAAAUAACAAUUAUUCAGGUCUAAAACUAAUCCCGAUGGUAGAUGUAGAGGUAGCGUGCCGAACGCAAUCACAUCGACUUUGGAACCAUUUCCCACGCGCAUCGUCACCUCGUCCUUAGCCAAUCUUCGCUUAAUCCGUAGUCCCUGUUUCGAGUUGCAAAUAUUAGCAACAAAACCAGUAUCAAAUACCCAGUUGCUACUGUGAGCAUUAGUAAGGUACACAUCAAUAACAUGUAUAUCACAUAUACCUUUGUUCACUUUGCCAUCCUUCUUAUCUGCCAAAUACUUGGGGCAGUUCCGCUUCCAGUGUCCAGUCUGCUUGCAGUAGAAGCACUCAGUUUCAGGCUUAGGUCUAGACUUGGGUUUCUUCUCUUGAGCAGCAACUUGUUUGCUGUUCUUCUUGAAGUUCCCCUUCUUCUUCCCUUUGCCCUUUUUCUGGAAACUGGUGGUCUUAUUGACCAUCAACACUUGAUGCUCAUUCUUGAUUUCUACCUCCGCAACUUUUAGCAUUGCGAAGAGCUCGGGAAUAGUCUUGUCCAUCCCUUGCAUAUUAUAGUUCAUCACGAAGCUCUUGUAGCUUGGUGGCAGUGAUUGAAGAAUUCUGUCAAUGACACUAUCAUCAGGAAGAUUAACUCCGAGUUGAAUCAAGUGAUUAUUAUACCCAGACAUUUUGAGUAUAUGUUCACUGACAGAACUAUUCUCCUCCAUCUUACAACUAUAGAACUUAUUGGAGACUUCAUAUCUCUCAAUCCAGGAAUUUGCUUGAAAUAUUAACUUCAACUCCUGGAACAUCUCAUAUGCUCCAUGACGUUCAAAACGUCGUUGAAGACCCGGUUCCAAGCCGUAAAGCAUGGCACACUGAACUAUCGAGCAGUCAUCAGCUUUGCUCUGCUAGACGUUCUUAACGUCGUCAGUUGCAUCUACAACAGGCUUGGCACCCAGCGGUGCUUCCAGGGCGUAAUUCUUCUGUGCAGCAAUGAGGAUAAUCCUCAAGUUACGGACCCAGUCCGUGUAAUUGCUACCAUCAUUUUUCAACUUAGCUUUCUCAAGGAACGCAUUAAAAUUCAACGGAACAACAGCACGAGCCAUCUAUCUAAAACAAACAUAGACAAGCAAAAUACUAUCAGGUACUAAGUUCAUGAUAAAUUUAAGUUCAAUUAAUCAUAUUACUUAAGAACUCCCACUUAGACAGACAUCUCUCUAGUCAUCUAAGUGAUCACGUGAUCCAAAUCAACUAAACCAUGUCCGAUCAUCACGUGAGAUGGAGUAGUUUCAAUGGUGAACAUCACUAUGUUGAUCAUAUCUACUAUAUGAUUCACGUUCGACCUUUCGGUCUCCGUGUUCCGAGGCCAUAUCUGUAUAUGCUAGGCUCGUCAAGUUUAACCUGAGUAUUUCGCGUGUGCAACUGUUUUGCACCCGUUGUAUUUGAACAUAGAGCCUAUCACACCCGAUCAUCACAUGGUGUCUCAGCACGAAGAACUUCCACAACGGUGCAUACUCAGGGAGAACACUUCCUGAUAAUUAUUGAGAGAUCAUCUUAAAAUGCUACCGUCAAUCAAAUCAAGAUAAGAUGCAUAAAGGAUAAACAUCACAUGCAAUCAAUAUAAGUGAUAUGAUAUGGCCAUCAUCGUCUUGUGCUUGUGAUCUCCAUCUCCGAAGCACCGUCGUGAUCACCAUCGUCACCGGCGCGACACCUUGAUCUCCAUCGUAGCAUCAUUGUCGUUACGCCAUCUAUUGCUUCUAUGACUAUUGCUACCGCUUAGUGAUAAAGUAAAGCAAUUACAGGGCGUUUGCAUUUCAUACAAUAAAGCAACAACCAUAUGGCUCCUGCCAGUUGCCGAUAACUUCGGUUACAAAACAUGAUCAUCUCAUACAAUAAAAUAUAGCAUCACAUCUUGACCAUAUCACAUCACAACAUGCCCUACAAAAACAAGUUAGACGUCCUCUACUUUGUUGUUGCAAAUUUUACGUGGCUGCUACGGGCUGAGCAAGAACCGUUCUUACCUACGCAUCAAAACCACAAUGAUAGUUCGUCAAGUUAGUGUUGUUUUAACCUUCGCAAGGACCGGGCGUAGCCACACUCGGUUCAACUAAAGUUGGAGAAACUGACACCCACCAGCCACCUGUGUGCAAAGCACGUCGGUAGAACCAGUCUCGUGUAAGCGUACGUGUAAUGUCGGUCCGGGCCACUUCAUCCAACAAUACCAACGAACCAAAGUAUGACAUGCUGGUAAACAGUAUGACUUGUAUCGCCCACAACUCACUUGUGUUCUACUCGUGCAUAUAACAUCUACGCAUAAAACCAGGCUCGGAUGCCACUGUUGGAGAACGUAGUAAUUUCAGAAAAAUUCCUACGCACACGCAAGAUCAUGGUGAUGCAUAGCAACGAGAGGGGAGAGUGUUGUCCAUGUACCCUCGUAGACCGAAAGCGGAAGCAUCAGAACAACACGGUUGAUGUAGUCGCACGUCUUCACGGCCCGACCAAUCAAGCACCGAAACUACGGCACCUCCGAGUUCUAGCACACGUUCAGCUCGAUGACGAUCCCCGGACUCUGACCCAGCAGAAUGUCGGGGAAGAGUUUCGUCAGCAUGACGGCGUGGUGACGAUCUUGAUGUUCUACCGUCGCAGGGCUUCGCCUAAGCACCGCUACAAUAUUAUCGACGACUAUGGUAGAGGGGGGCACCGCACACGGCUAAGAGAUCAAGAGAUCAAUUGUUGUGUCUUAGAGGUGCCCCCUGCCCCCGUAUAUAAAGGAGCCAAGGGGGAGGGGGCGGCCGGCCAAGGAGGGACGCGCCAAGGGGAGUCCUACUCCCACCGGGAGUAGGACUCCCUUCUUUCCUAGUUGGAAUAGGAGAAGGGGGGAAGGAGGAGGGAGAGAGGAAGGAAAGGGGGGGCGCCGCCCCCCUCUCCUUGUCCUAUUCAGACUAGGGGGGAGGGGCGCGUGGCCCAGCCCUUGCCUCCUCUCCUCCUCUCCACUAGGGCCCAUGUAGGCCCAUUAAGCCCCCGGGGGGUUCCGGUAACCUCCCGGUACUCUGGUAAAAUCCCGAUUUCACCCGGAACACUUCCGAUAUCCAAAUAUAGGCUUCCAAUAUAUCAAUCUUCAUGUCUCGACCAUUUCGAGACUCCUCGUCAUGUCCGUAAUCUUAUCCGGGACUCCGAACAAACUUCAGUACAUCAAAACUCAUAAACUCAUAAUAUAACUGUCAUCGAAACCUUAAGCGAGCGGACCCUACAGGUUCGAGAACUAUGUAGACAUGACCGAGACUCGUUUCCGGUCAAUAACCAAUAGCGGAACCUGGAUGCUCAUAUUGGUUCUUGCAUAUUCUACGAAGAUCUUUAUCGGUCAAACCGCAUAACAAUAUACGUUGUUCCCUUUGUCAUCGGUAUGUUACUUGCCCGAGAUUCGAUCGUCGGUAUCCAAUACCUAGUUCAAUCUCGUUACCGGCAAGUCUCUUUACUCGUUACGUAAUGCAUCAUUCCGUAACUAACUCAUUAGCUACAUUGCUUGCAAGGCUUAUAUUGAUGUGCAUUACCGAGAGGGCCCAGAGAUACCUCUCCGACAGUCGGAGUGACAAAACCUAAUCUUGAAAUACGCCAACUCAACAUGUACCUUUGGAGACACCUGUAGAGCUCCUUUAUAAUCACCCAGUUACGUUGUGACGUUUGGUAGCACACAAAGUGUUUCUCUGGUAAACGGGAGUUGCAUAAUCUCAUAGUUGUAGGAACAUGUAUAAGUCAUGAAGAAAGCAAUAGCAACAUACUAAACGAUCAAGUGCUAAGCUAACGGAAUGGGUCAUGUCAAUCACAUCAUUCUUCUAAUGAUGUGAUCCUGUUAAUCAAAUGACAACUCAUGUCUAUGGUUAGGAAACAUAACCAUCUUUGAUUAAUGAGCUAGUCAAGUAGAGGCAUACUAGUGACAUUAAGUUUGUCUAUGUAUUCACACAUGUAUCAUGUUUCCGGUUAAUACAAUUCUAGCAUGAAUAAUAAACAUUUAUCAUGAAAUAAGGAAAUAAAUAAUAACUUUAUUAUUGUCUCUAGGGCAUAUUUCCUUCAUCGGGCGGCCGUCCGGGCACUGUAGGUUGCCUCGGCUGGAGUCGAUUUGGCUGGUGGAGUCUCCAGGCAUCGGCCGUCCGGAGGUCGUUGGACGUCCGAGAUCGGUAGCUUCCUGGCAGCUAUUCCUCUUGUUCCUCGCGCUUGGCGUCCUCGCCGUGUUGUCCAAUGCUCGUAGCUGUUCCAUGGCCUUCCUCUUGGUUCCUGGUCAUGCAUAGCACAUAUGUUUGAGGUAGUAGCCAUGUCUCACAUGUGGAAAGCGAUGGUUCGGAGAGGAGCGAGUUCACCUUGUGUCCAAUGGCGUAUGUUCGAGGUCUCGUCAUAUGUCCUCUUAGGGCUUGGAGAGUAGUCUGAGUGUACAUGGGGAUGAACGUGGGAUGCUCCGCAUCGCAGCGCCUCCAAGGAGGGGAACGACGCCCGUGCGCACUGCCGCCACCGGCCGGUUAACAACUAGGCAUGCCUUCACGCGGAGCAUCUCAGACAUCACCCCCACGCGUUGCAAUAUGAUAGCCCGCUCACCCCCCGUGCAGCAAUCACGAUGUCGCCUCAAGGGAGCCACCACGAACCUAGCCGACAUCCAAGCCGGACCAUCAUCUGGCGCCCACCACCGUUGCACCACCACACUACAACUGACGAGCACCACCAGAGCCGGGAGGAAGGGCUGCCACCCCUUCCCAAACCCGCUGAAACCAACCCACCGCACCCGCAUCGCCAAAUCCACCACCGGAGCCUCCAGCCGCCACAAGAGGGCUGGAUCUAGCCGACUCCGCCCGGAUCUAACUAGCCGCAUCGCCGCCAUGGUUUUACAUAGUGAAUAACAUGAUGGUAGCGGAUUGCGGUGCACAUAGCGGAAUGCGGAUAGUGGGAGAUAUUGCGCACGCUAUGUCCGUGUAGCGGAUUUGUAAAAACACUGAUUAUUGUGUAUAUUUCUAGACCAUUAACAAAAUGUAGUGACAUUUAAUUUGAUCAGGACGCUAUUGCGCUAGCUCUAUUGUGGACGCAAUAGCGGAUGCUAUAUUUGGUAUUUGAAACUAUGAUCGCCGCAGAAGCUUCCACCAGACGCCGGCCGAAGCAGACAUGGGGAGACUGAUACGUCUCAAACGUAUCUAUAAUUUAUGAAGCAUUCAUGCUACUUUAUUACCUGUUUUGAAUGAUUACGGGCUUUAUUAUACACUUUUAUAUUACUUUUGGGACUAACCUACUAACUGGAAGCCCAACCCAUAUUGUUGUCUUAUUGCCUGUUUCAAUAUUUCGAAGAAAAGGAAUAUCAAACGGAGUCCAAACGGAAUGAAACCUUCGAUAGCGUGAUUUUUGGAACGAACAUGACCCAGGAAACUUGGAGUGCAAGGCGGGGAAGCGUCGAGGAAGCCACAAGAUAGGGGGGCGCGCCCACCCCCCUGGGCGCGCCCUCCACUCUUGUGGGCCCCUCGAGGCUCCCCCGACUGACUUCUUUCGCCUAUAUAAGCCUACGUACCCUAAAAACAUCGAGACAGAAGAUAGAUCGGGAGUUCCGCCACCGCAAGCCUCUGUAGCCACCAAAAACCUCUUGGGAGCCCAUUCCGGCACCCUGCCGGAGGGGGGGAUCCCUCACCGGUGGCCAUCUUCAUCAUCCCGGUGCUAUCCAUGACGAGGAGGGAGUAGUUCACCCUCGGGGCUGAGGGUAUGUACCAGUAGCUAUGUGUUUGAUCUCUCUCUCUCUCUCUCUCUCUCUCUCUCUCUCUUUCUCUCUCGUGUUCUCUCUAUGGCACGAUCUUGAUGUAUCGCGAGCUUUGCUAUUAUAGUUGGAUCUUAUGAUGUUUCUCCCCCCUCUACUCUCUUGUGAUGAAUUGAGUUUUCCCUUUGAAGUUAUCUUGUCGGAUUGAGUCUUUAGUGAUUUGAGAACACUUGAUGUAUGUCUUGCCGUGCUUAUCUGUGGUGACAAUGGGAUAUCACGUGCCACUUGAUGUAUGUUUUGGUGAUCAACUUGCGGGUUCCGCCCAUGAACCUAUGCAUAGGGGUUGGCACACGUUUUCAUCUUGACUCUCCGGUAGAAACUUUGGGACACUCUUUGAAGUAAUUUGUGUUGGUUGAAUAGAUGAAUCUGAGAUUGUGUGAUGCAUAUCGUAUAAUGAUGCCCACGGAUACUUGAGGUGACAAUGGAGUAUCUAGGUGACAUUAGGGUUUUGGUUGAUUUGUGUCUUAAGGUGUUAUUCUAGUAUGAACUCUUGAAUAGAUCGAUCCGAAAGAAUAACUUUGAGGUGGUUUCAUACCCUACCAUAAUCUCUUCGUUUGUUCUCUGCUAUUAGUGUCUUUGGAGUGACUCUUUGUUGCAUGUUGAGGGAUUGUUAUAUGAUCUAUCUAUGUUAUUAUUCUUGAGAGAACUUGCACUAGUGAAAGUAUGAACCUUAGGCCUUGUUUCCUACCAUUGCAAUACCGUUUACGCUCACUUUUAUCAUUGGUUACCUUGCUGUUUUUAUAUUUUCAGAUUACAAAAACCUUUAUCUAGCAUCCAUAUUGCACUUGUAUUACCAUCUCUUCGACGAACUAGUGCACCUAUACAAUUUACCAUUGUAUUGGAUGUGUUGGGGACACAUGAGACUCUUUGUUAUUUGGUUGCAGGGUUGCUUGAGAGAGACCAUCUUCAUCCUAUGCCUCCCACGGAUUGAUAAACCUUAGGUCAUCCACUUGAAGGAAAUUUGGUAUUGUCCUACAAACCUCUGCACUUGGAGGCCCAACAACGUCUACAAGAAGGUUGUGUAGUAGACAUCAAGCUCUUUUCUAGCGCCGUUGCCGGGGAGGUGACUGCUUGAAGGUAUAUAUUUAGAUCUUGCAAUCAAAUUUGUUUGUUUCUUGUUUUAUCACUAGUUUAGUUUAUAAAGGAAAACUACAAAAAAUGGAGUUAAGUUUGUCUCAUACGCUUCGUCUUUUUAAUAUCUUUCGUGAGUAUGAUGAAAAGGAAAAUUGUGCUCAAGUGCUAGAAGAAGAAAUCUAUAGAAAGUUUGAUACUAAAUCUUUGAAUGAUGAGCAUGAUUGCAAUGUUGUUAGUAUGAACUCCUUGAACAUCCAUAGUACUAAUGAUGAUUGCACUAGUUAUGAUGAAAAUGUCUCCUAUAAGCAUGUCGAUUUUUGUGGAGAGCAUUGGGUUUGCAUGGACACACCAAAUAGAGAAAAUAGAUAUUGCAAGAGGCAUAAGUAUUUAGAAACUAAAUUGUUGCAAGAAAGACUUGAUGAUUGUGCUGAAAGAUUCAAUAUUUUUCGCGCUCCUUGUGAACUUUGCAAUGAACAUGGUCAUUUAAAUCUCCAAUGCAAACUGUUUCAUGAUUAAAUCGUGUCCAAAAAUUGUGAUAGCUUGAUUACCCUUGGGCAUCAUAAAGAGCUUAGUCUUCUUUUGGGGUAUGAAGAAAUGAAACGUAUAAUUGAGGGUUUUCCAAAAUUUAAUUUUGAUAGAUUUCUUGAUUUUGAUCUAGAGAAGAUUUAUGUGUAUUGUGCGGUGAAUUGCAUUGAAAAUCCUUAUAUUGCCAAUUACCUAAAGAAAAGAAAGCAAAUAUAAGAUGAUGAGAAUACUAAUUAAAGGGAAGAGACUUCCCAAUAUCCUCCUAUUAUUUCUUAUGAUGAAUCAGGUAACGAGGAGGAGCUUUCUAUUCAACCAAUCUCGUCAAUAAGGAGCUCAAAGAGGAAGGUUGAACCCACAAAUAAUAUGAAGAAGAAAAAGAAAAGAAGGAGCAACAAAGGUAUAAAGGUAUCCCUCCCAAAUGAUGUUGCUCCUACUACUCAUUGUGAUGAUGAUAAUUGCUAUACUAUUGGUGCUAUCCAUAUUUUUAAUGACGAGAGCGAUUAUGCUUAUGAUAUGAAAGGGCCCAAGCUUGGGGAAGCUAUGUUUGAUGAGGAUGAAAUAUUUGAGAAUAUAUUUGCUGAAAUUAAUGUUUGUCCCAAGCUUGGGUAUGCUAUGUUUAAUGAAGAUGAUAUUUUUAGCAUCCCAAGUUUUGAUAUGCAAAGUUGUUAUGAUGAUAGCAUGCCUCUUACCUAUGAUGAUUAUAUUGAUGAAAGUGGGUUUGGAAGAGUGUCAACUUUAGGAAGUAGUGAUCCCACUAUUUUGGAGGAUGUUAAAUUUUAUUGUGAUGAAUACGAAAGUGGAUUUGGAAGAGUGUCAACUUUAUUUAGUGAUUCCACUAUCUUGGGAGAGGUUUCAAUCGAUUAUGAUGAGAAGGAAGUUGCUACUUAUGAUGAUUAUUGUGAUGAAACUUAUGCUAUAAAAAUUAGUGAUGAUUAUAUUUACAAAUCUUGUCAUGAUUAUGAUUACCCUUUUUCUGAACAUUACUCUUUUAAUGUGGAAACAAUUUUUAGUGUUCAAGUCUCUUAUGAUACUCCCACUAUUCCGAAUGAGAAGAAUUUUGCUUAUGUAGAGAGUAGUAAAAAUUCUAUGCUUGUAGAUCAUGAAAAGAAUGCUUUAGGUGCUGGUUAUAUUGUUGAAUUCAUUCAUGAUGCUACUGAAAAUUAUUAUGAGGUAGGAACAUAUGCUUGUAGGAAUUGCAAUAAUAUCAAGUUUCCUGUCUAUGUGUUGAAAAUCUUGAAGCUAUGCUUGUUUUACCUUCCUAUGCUAGUUGAUUAUUGUUCCAUAAGUUGUUUUAUCACAAAAUCCCUAUGCAUAGGAAGUGGGUUAGACUCAAAUGUGCUAGUCAUAUGCUUCAUGAUGCUCCCGUUAUGUUUCAAUUCUUAUCUGUUUUGUGAGCAUCAUUGUCAUCAUCUUGCCUAGCUAGAAAGGCAUUAAAGAAAAGCGCUUGUUGGGAGACAACCUAAUUUUUACCCCUACUGUUUUUGUGUGUCCACAUUAUUAUGAUACUGUAAUAAUCAUGUUUUAUAGCUUUUGUUUCAAUAAAGUGCCAAGUAAGACCUUUAGAAUAGCUUACGUUGAUAGUUGUGUUGAUCCUGCUGAGAAUCAGAAACUUUUGCACCCAGUAAAUUAGUUUUGUUAAUUCACAGAAAUGUUAUGCUGACCUGAUUAUUUUUGAUAUGGAUUGGUACACAAAUUUCUCAGGACUUCCUAAUUUGGUAGGCUUUUUGGAGUUCCAUAAGUAUACGUUUGAUACAGAUUACUACAGACUGUUCUGUUUUUGACAGAUUCUGUUUUCCAUGUGUCGUUUGCUUAUUUUGAUGAAUCUAUGAGUAGUAUCGGAGGGUAUGAACCAUAGAUAAGUUUGAAUACAGUAGAUGUUACACCUAUAUGAAUUUAGAAUGAGUUCAUUACAGUACCUAAGUGGUGGUUUUAUUUUCUUAUACUAACGGAGCUUACGAGUUUUCUAUUGAGUUUUGUGUUGUGAAGUUUUCAAGUUUUGGGUAAAGAUUCGAUGGACUAUGGAAUAAGGAGUGGCAAGAGCCUAAGCUUGGGGAUUCCCAAGGCACCCCAAGCUAAUAUUCAAGGACAACCAAGAGCCUAAGCUUGGGGAUGCCCCGGAUGGCAUCCCCUCUUUCGUCCUCGUUCAUCGGUAACUUUACUUGGAGCUAUAUUUUUAUUCACCACAUGAUAUGUGUUUUGCUUGGAGCGUCAUUUUCUCUUGUUAGUAUUUGCUUUAUGUUAUUUAGAAUAAUGUUUUGCAUCUAUAUUUCCAAUAAAAAGUCAAGUAUAGCCUUUACCUUGCUUAUUUUGCUAGUAUACAUGUUGCUGUUUGAAAACAGAAAGUUUACCGCCGUUGCGAAAACUCCCUAGAAAAGUCGGAGAAUGAUAUAAUGUUGAAACCUUUUGCAUAAUAAGCUCUGAUAAAUUUACUACAGUGGGAAUUUUAUUUCAUAAUUUUUGGAGUUAGGGAAGUAUGCUGAAUCUUGCAUUCUUUACAGACUGUACUGUUUUGACAGAUUGUUGUUAUGGUUGCAUUGUUUGCAUAUGUUUGCUUGUUUAAUGAUUCUAUUUGAUGAUAGGAGUAUUAAAUAUGCAGAGGCAUUUAGUAUGGAAUGUUGAAUAAUAAUUUUAGUGAUUUGUUACAGUAGAAAACGAUAAGGUUUUGCAUUGGUUUAUACUAACUUAUCUCACGAGUUCUUGUUGAGUUUUAUGUGGAUGAAGUUUUUGGGAAAUAGAGAAACCAUGAUAUGAGAGGAAUUAAGGAGACACAAAAGUUCAAGCUUGGGGAUGCCCAAGGCACCCCAAGAUAAUAUUUCAAGAAGUCUCAAGCAUCUAAUCUUGGGGAUGCCCCGGUAGGCAUCCCACCUUUCUUCUUCAACAACUAUCGGUUAGUAUCGGUUGAACCUAAGUUUUUGCUUCUUCACAUGAGUUGUGCUAUCCUUGCAAUGUCAUUUUGUUUUGUUUGCUGUUUGAAUAAAAUACCAAGAUCUGAAAUUCUUUAAUGAGAGAGAGUCUUCACAUAGUUACAUAAUUAUUUGGCUACUCAUUGAUCUUCACUUAUAUCUUUUGGAGUAGUUUGUCAUUUACUCGUGUGCUUCACUUAUAUCCUAUGAGUAAAUGGUUGAAUGAGUUGAAUGUCAAAAAUCUGAAAUUAUAUAUGUUUCAUUUGCUUAUCCCAUGGGGAGUAAUGACUUCACAUCUAAGAAGUAGAGGUUGUAAGUUUAUUGAAGGUUAGCAAGCAUUGUAUUGGUCAUUGAACAAUUCAUGAAAGAAUAUUGAAGGAAGAGGGAUUUCACAUAUAAAUAUACUAUAUUAGACAUCUUUUAUAAUUGUGAGCACUCAUUAAGUAUGACAUGCUAAAGAGUUGAUGUUGGACAAGGAAGACAACUUAAUGGGUUAUGUUUUCUCACAUCUUAGUUGAAGUAUAUUGUCAUGGAUCAUUUAAACAUGUUGAGCUUGCCUUUCCCCCUCAUGCUAGCCAAAUUCCUUGCACCAAGUAGAGAUACUACUUGUGCUUCCAAAUAUCCUUAAACCCAAUUUUUGCCAUGAGUGUCCACCAUACCUACCUAUAUGCGGUAUUUACCUGCCGUUCCAAGUAAAUUUGCAUGUGCCAAACUCUAAACCUUCAAAUAAUAAUCUGUUUUGUAUGCCCGAAUUGCUCAUGUAGCGACUAGGGGCUAUCAGUAUCUUCCGUGCUAUGUGGGUUAUUCUCAAGAUGAGUGGACUCCGCUCAUCAUGCACGUGAAAAAUGGCUGGUAACCGGGAUGCCCAGUCCCAUGAUCAAAAGAUCAAAAUCAAAUCAAAAAUAAUUGCAAACAAAACUCCCCCAGGUUUGAUGUUAGUUGGAGGCACCCGUUGUUUCGGGUAAGCCAUGGAUUGAUGAUUGUUGGUGGAGGGGGAGUAAAAACUUUUACCAUUCUGUUUGGGAACCACCUAUAAUAUAUGUAGUAUGGAAGAUAUUGGGAACUCUUGGUUGUUAUGUUGACAAUGAGAUCAUACCUCUCAAAAUUAUUUAUCUCUAUUUCAAAACUGAGCUCUGGCACCUCUGCAAAUCCCUGCUUCCCUCUGCGAAGGGCCUAUCUUUUACUUUUAUGCAAGAGUCAAGGUGAUCUUCACCGUUCCCUUUUUCAUUUUAUCCUUUGGCAAGCACCUCGUGUUGGGAAGAUCCUGAUAUAUAUAUCCAACUGGAUGUAAGUUAGCAUGAACUAUUAUUGUUGACAUCACCCAAAGGUGAAUACGUUGGGAGGCAACACUAUAAGCCCCUAUCUUUCUCAGUGUCCGAUUAAAACUCCAUAACUAUUAGUAUUGUGUGAGUGUUAGCAAUUGUAGAAGACUAUAUGAUAGUUGAGUAUGUGGAGUUUGCUAAAUCAAAGCUCUGACAUAGACCCUUCCUGAAAAUAAGAUGAAUUGUAAUUGUUUGAUAACUAGGAAUGAAGUUUGCUAGUUUAUGGCCAAUGCUUUCAACAUGUGAAUUGCUUGUUACUUGUUCGUGAGAAGUUUUAUGAGUUGAACUACUGUUAUGACAUAUAAUCAUGCUAGAAAAGGUGAUUGAAAUUAUCAUUGAUCAAACUUGUGCACCUUCUAGCAUUCACACUUCAUAAAUUCUUUCUUUUAUCAUUUACCUACUCGAGGACUGAUACGUCUCCAACGUAUCUAUAAUUUAUGAAGCAUUCAUGCUAUUUUAUUACCUGUUUUGCAUGCUUACGAGCUUUAUUAUACACUUUUAUAUUACUUUUGGGACUAACCUAUUAACAGGAGGCCCAGCCCAUAUUGCUAUUUUAUUGCCUGUUUCAGUAUUUUGAGGAAAAGGAAUAUCAAACGGAGUCCAAACGGAAUGAAACCUUCGGCAGCGUGAUUUUUUGGAAGAAUAUGAUCCUGGAGACUUGGAUUUCACGUCAGAAGAUCCUCGAGGAGGCCAGGAGAUAGCCCCCCCCCUACUGGGCAUGCCCCCCUAUCUCGUGGGCCCCUCGAGCACCCCCCCGACCGACUUCUUUUGCCUAUAUAGUCCCACAUACCCUAAAAAUAUCCACGGAGAAGAUAGAUCGGGAGUUCCACCACCGCAAGCCUCUGUAGCCACCAAAAACCUCUCGGGAGCCCGUUCCGGCACCCUGUCGGAGAAGGAAUCCAUCACCGGUGGCUAUCUUCAUCAUCCCGGCGCUAUCCAUGACAAGUAGGGAGUAGUUCACCCUCGGGGCUGAGGGUAUGUACCAGUAGCUAUGUGUUUGAUCUCUCUCUCUCUCUCUCUCUCUCUCGUGUUCUCCCUAUGGCACGAUCUUGAUGUAUCGCGAGCUUUGCUAUUAUAGUUGGAUCUUAUGAUGUUUCUCCCCCUCUACUCUCUUGUGAUGAAUUGAGUUCUCUCUUGAAGUUUUCUUAUCGGAUUGAGUCUUUGAUUUGAGAACACUUGAUGUAUGUCUUGCCGUGUUUAUCUGUGGUGACAAUGGGAUAUCACGUGCCACUUGAUGUAUGUUUUGGUGACCAACUUGCGGGUUCCGCCCAUGAACCUAUGCAUAGGGGUUGGCACACGUUUUCUUGACUCUCCGGUAGAAACUUUGGGGCACUCUUUGAAGUACUUUUGUGUUGGUUGGAUGAAUCUGAGAUUGUGUGAUGCAUAUCGUAUGAUCAUGCCCACGGAUACUUGAGGUGACAAUGGAGUAUCUAGGUGAUAUUAGGGUUUUGGUUGAUUUGUGUCUUAAGGUGUUAUUCUAGUACGAACUCUUGAAUAGAUCGAUCUGAAAGAAUAACUUUGAGGUGGUUUCGUACCCUACCAUAAUCUUUUCGUUUGUUCUCCACUAUUAGUGGCUUUGGAGUGACUCUUUGUUGCAUGUUGAGCGAUUGUUAUAUGAUCUAUCUAUGUUAUUAUUGUUGAGAGAACUUGCACUAGUGAAAGUAUGAACCUUAGGCCUUGUUUCCUAUCAUUGCAAUACCGUUUACGCUCACUUUUACCAUUAGUUACCUUGCUGUUUUUAUUAUUUCAGAUUACAAAAACCUAUAUCUACUAUCUAUAUUGCACUUGUAUCACCAUCUCUUCACCGAACUAGUGCACCUAUACAAUUUACCAUUGUAUUGGGUGUGUUGGGGACACAAGAGACUCUUUGUUAUUUGGUCGCAUGGUUGUUUGAGAGAGACCAUAUUCAUCCUACGCCUCCCACGGAAUGAUAAACCUUAGGUCAUCCACUUGAGGGAAAUUUGCUACUGCCCUACAAACCUCUGCACUUGGAGGCCCAACAACGUCUACAAGAAGAAGGUUGUGUAGUAGACAUCAAGCUCUUUUCUGGCGCCGUUGCCGGGGAGGUGAGUGCUUGAAGGCAUAUCUUUAGUCUUGUAAUUGAAUCCUUUUGUUUCUUGUUUUAUCACUAGUUUAGUUUAUAAAAGAAAACUACAAAAAAAUGGAGUUAAGUUUGUCUCAUACGCUUCGUCUUUUUAAUAUCUUUCGUGAGUUUGAUGGAAAGGAAGAUUGUGCUCAAGUGCUAGAAGAAGAGUGCAUUAAAAUUCUUGGUACUGAAUCUUUGAAUGAUGAGCAUGAUUGCAAUGUUGUUAGUAUGAACUCCUUGAAUAUCCAUAGUACUAAUGAUGAUUGCUCUAGUCAUGAUGAGAAUAUCUCCUAUAAGCAUGCCAACUUUUGUGGAGUGCAUGUUUGCAUGAACACACCAAAUAGAGAAGAUAUAUAUUGCAAGAGGCAUAAGCAUUUAGAAACUAAAUGGUUGCAAGAAAGGCUAAAUGUGAGUGCUGAAAAUUUAAAUUUCCUUUGCCGUACUUGUGAACUUUGCAAUGAACGUGGUCAUUUACAUUUCCGAUGCAAAUUGUUUCAUGAUCAAAUCGUGUCCAAAAAUUGUGAUGAUUUGAUCUCCCUUGCUCAUUAUAAUGAACUUAGUUUGCUUUUGGGUUAUGAAGAAUUGAAACGUUUAAUUAAGGACCUUCCAGAAUUUGCUCAUAAGAAAUUCCUUGAUAUUGAUCUAGGGAAGAUUUAUUUGUAUUGUGCGGUGAAUUGCAUUGAAAAUCCUUAUAUUGCCAAUUACAUAAAGAAAAGAAAGCAAAUAGAAGAUGAUUAGAAUACUAAUGAAAGGGAAGAGACUUCCCAGUAUCCUCCUAUUAUUUCUUAUGAUGAAUCAGGUAACGAGGAGGAGCUUUCUAUUCAACCAAUCUCGUCAAUAAGGAGCUCAAAGAGGAAGGUUGAACCCACACAUAAUGUGAAAAAGAAAAGGAAAAGAAGGGGCAACAAAGGUAAAAAGGUAUCCCUCCCAAAUGAUGUUGCUCCUACUACUCAUUGUGAUGAUGAUAAUUGCUAUACUACUGGUGCUAUCCAUACUAUUAAUGAUGAGAGUGAUUAUGCUUAUGAUAUGAAAAGGCCCAAGCUUGGGGAAGCUAUGUUUGAUGAGGAUGAAAUAUUUGAGAAUAUAUUUGCUGAAAUUAAUGUUUGUCCCAAGCUUGGGGAUGCUAUGUUUAAUGAAGAUGAUAUUUUUAGCAUCCCAAGUUUUGAUAUGCAAAGUUGUUAUGAUGAUAGCAUGCCUCUUACCUAUAAUGAUUAUAUUGAUGAAAGUGGGUUUGGAAGAGUGUUAACUUUAGGAAGUAGUGAUCCCACUAUUUUGGAGGAUAUUGAAUUUUAUUGUGAUGAAUACGAAAGUGGAUUUGGAAGAGUGUCAACUUUAUUUAGUGAUUCCACUAUCUUGGGAGAGGUUUCAAUCGAUUAUGAUGAGAACGAAGUUGCUACUUAUGAUGAUUAUUGUGAUGAAACUUAUGCUAUAAAAAUUAGUGAUGAUUAUAUUUACAAAUCUUGUCAUGAUUAUGAUUACCCUUUUUCUGAACAUUACUCUUUUAAUGUGGAAACAAUUUUUAGUGUUCAAGUCUCUUAUGAUACUCCCACUAUUCCGAAUGAGAAGAAUUUUGCUUAUGUAGAGAGUAGUAAAAAUUCUAUGCUUGUAGAUCAUGAAAAGAAUGCUUUAGGUGCUGGUUAUAUUGUUGAAUUCAUUCAUGAUGCUACUGAAAAUUAUUAUGAGGGAGGAACAUAUGCUUGUAGGAAUUGCAAUAAUGUCAAGUUUCCUCUCUAUGUGCUUCAAGUUUUGAACUUAUGCUUAUUUUAUCUUCCUAUGCUAGUUGAUUAUUGUUCCCAUAAGUUGUUUGCUCACAAAAUCCCUAUGCAUAGGAAGUGGGUUAGGCUUAAAUGUGCUAGUCAUAUGCUUCAUGAUGCUCCCGUUAUGUUUCAAUUCUUAUCUUUUAUGUGAGCAUCAUUGUCAUCAUCAUGCCUAGCUAGAAAGGCAUUAAAGAAAAGCGCUUGUUGGGAGACAACCCAAUAUUUACCUUUACUGUUUUUGUGUGUUCACAUUAUUAAAAUACUGUAGUAAUCAUGUUUUAUAGCUUUUGUUUCAAUAAAGUGCCAAGUAAGACCUUUAGGAUAGCUUACGGUGAUAGUUGUGUUGAUCCUGCUAAGAAUCAGAAACUUUUGCACCCAGUAAAUUUGUUUUGUUAAUUCACAUAAAUGUUAUUCUGACCUGAUUCUUUUUGCUAUGGAUUGGUACACAAAUUUCUCAGGACUUCCUAAUUUGGUAGGCUUUUUGGAGUUCCAUAAGUAUACGUUUGAUACAGAUUACUACAGACUGUUCUGUUUUUGACAGAUUCUGUUUUCCAUGUGUUGUUUGCUUAUUUUGAUGAAUCUAUGAGUAGUAUCGGAGGGUAUGAACCAUAUAUAAGUUUGAAUACAGUAGAUGUUACACCUAUAUGAAUUUAGAAUGAGUUCAUUACAGUACCUAAGUGGUGGUUUUAUUUUCUUAUACUAACGGAGCUUACGAGUUUUCUGUUGAGUUUUGUGUUGUGGAGUUUUCAAGUUUUGGGUAAAGAUUCGAUGGACUAUGGAAUAAGGAGUGGUAAGAGCCUAAGCUUGGGGAUGCCCAAGGCAUCCCAAGGUAAUAUCCAAGGACAACCAAGAGCCUAAGCUUGGGGAUGCCCCGGAAGGCAUCCCCUCUUUCGUCUUCGUUCAUCGGUAACUUUACUUGGAGCUAUAUUUUUAUUCACCACAUGAUAUGUGUUUUGCUUGGAGCGUCAUUUUAUUUUGUUAGUAUUUGUUUUCUGUUCUUUAGAAUAAUGUUUUGCAUCUAUAUUUUCAAUAAAAAUGUCAAGGAUAGCCUUUUCCAUGCUUAUUUUGCUAGUAUACAUGUUGCUGUUUGAAAACAGAAAGUUUACCGCUGUUGUAAAAAUUCCCUAGAAAAGUCAAAGCAUGGUAUAAUGUUGAAACCUUUUGCAUAAUGAGCUCUGAUAAAUUUACUACAGUGGGAAUUUUAUUUCAUAAUUUUUGUAGUUAGGGAAGUAUUGAUACUCUUGCAUUCUUUAAAGACUGUACUGUUUUGACAGAUUGCUGUUAUGUUUGCAUUGUUUGCAUAUGUUUGCUUGUUUAAUGAUUCUAUGUGAGGAUAGGAGUAUUAAAUAUGCAGAGGCAUUUAGUAUGAAAUGUUGAAUAAUAAUUUUAGUGAUUUGUUACAGUAGAAAAUGAUAAGGUUUUGCAUUGGUUUAUACUAACCUAUCUCACAAGUUCUUGUUGAGUUUGGUGUGGAUGAAGCUUUUGAUAAAAAGAGAAACCAUGAUAUGAGAGGAAUUAAGGAGACACAAAAGUUCAACCUUGGGGAUGCCCAAGGCACCCCAAGAUAAUAUUCCAAGAAGUCUCAAGCAUCCAAGGUUGGGGAUGCCCCGGUUGGCAUCCCACCUUUCUUCUUCAACAACUAUCGGUUAGUAUCGGUUGAGCCUAAGUUUUUGCUUCUUCACAUGAGUUGUGCUAUCCUUGCAAUGUAAUUUUAUUUUGUUUUGCUUGCUGUUUGAAUACAAUACCGAGAUCUGAAAUUCUUUAAUGAGAGAGAGUCUUCACAUAGUUACAUAAUUAUUUAGCUACUCAUUGAUCUUCACUUAUAUCUUUUUGGAGUAGUUUGUCAUUUACUCGUGUGCUUCACUUAUAUCCUAUGAGUAAAUUGUUGAAUGAGUUGAUUGUCAUAAAUUUGAAAUUAUAAAUGUUUCAUUUGCUUAUCCCAUGGGGAGUAAUGACUUCACAUCUAAGAAGUAGAGGUUGUAAAUUUAUUGAAGGAUAGCAAGCAUUGUAUUGGUCAUUUGAACAAUUUAUGAAAGAAUAUUGAAGGAAGAGAGAUUUCACGUAUAAAUACACUAUCCUAGACAUCUUUUAUAAUUGGGAGCACUCAUUAAGUAUGACAUGCUAAAGAGUUGAUGUUGUACAAGGAAGACAACAUAAUGGUUUAUGUUUUCUAACAUCUCAGUUAAAGUAUAUUGUCAUGGAUCAUUCAAACAUGUUGAGCUUGCCUUUCCCCCUCAUGCUAGCCAAAAUUCCUUGCACCAAGUAGAGAUACUACUUGUGCUUCCGAAUAUCCUUAAACCCAGUUUUGCCAUGAGAGUCCACCAUACCUACCUAUGGAUUGAGUAAGAUCCUUCAAGUAAGUUGUCAUUGGUGCAAGCAAUAAAAAUUGCUCUCUAAAUAUGUAUGAUCUUUUGGUGUGAAGAAAAUAGCUUUAUACGAUCUUGUUAUGGAAGCAAUAAAAGCGACGGACUGCAUAAUAAAGGUCCAUAUACAAGUGGCAAUAUAAAGUGAUGUUCAUUUGCAUUAAGAUUUUGUGCAUCCAACCCUAAAAGCGCAUGACAACCUCUGCUUCCCUCUGCGAAGGGCCUAUCUUUUACCUUAUGUCUUUUACUUUAUGCAAGAGUCAAGGUGAUCUCCACCUUUCCCUUUUUCAUUUUAUCCUUUGGCAAGCACCUCGUGUUGGGAAGAUCCUGAUAUAUAUAUCCAAUUGGAUGUAAGUUAGCAUGAACUAUUAUUGUUGACAUCACCCAAAGGUGAAUACGUUGGGAUGCAACACUAUAAGCCCCUAUCUUUCUCAGUGUCCGAUUGAAACUCCAUAACCAUUAGUAUUGCGUGAGUGUUAGCAAUUGUAGAAGACUAUAUGAUAGUUGAGGAUGUGGAGUUUGCUAUUCCUGAAAAUAAGAUGAAUUGCAAUUGUUUGAUGACUGAGAAUGAAGUUUGCUAGUUUUCAAGAAAGUUUAUGGUCUAUGCUUUGAUAUGUGAAUUGCUUGUUACUUUAUCGUGAGAAGUUUUAUGAGAUGAACUACUGUUAUGACAUAUUAUCAUGCUAGAAAAGGUGAUUGAAAUUAUCAUUGAUCAAACUUGUGCACCUUCUAGCAUUCACACUUCAUAAAUUCUUUCUUUUAUCAUCUACCUACUCGAGGACGAGUAGAAAUUAAGCUUGAGGAUGCUGAUAUGUCUCCAACGUAUCUAUAAUUUAUGAAGCAUUCAUGCUAUUUUAUUACCUGUUUUGCAUGAUUACGGGAUUUAUUAUACACUUUUAUAUUAAUUUUGGGACUAACCUAUUAACCGGAGGCCCAACCCAUAUUGCUGUUUUAUUGCCUGUUUCAGUAUUUCGAGGAAAAAGAAUAUCAAACAGAGUCCAAACGGAAUGAAACCUUUGGCAGCGUGAUUUUCUGGAAGAAUAUGAUCUUGGAGACUUGGAGUUCACGUCAGAAGAUCCUCGAGGAGGCCAGGAGAUAGGAGGGCGCCCCCCCACUGGGCGCACCCCCUGUCUCAUGGGCCCCUGGAGCAACCCCCGACCGACUUCUUUCGCCUAUAUAGUCCCACGUACCCUAAAAACAUCCACGGAGAAGAUAGACAGGGAGUUCCGCCGCCGCAAGCCUCUGUAGCCACCAAAAACCUCUCGGGAGCCCGUUCCGGCACCCUGCCAGAGAGGGAAUCCAUCACCGGUGGCCAUCUUCAUCAUCCCGGCGCUAUCCAUGACGAGGAGGGAGUAGUUCACGCUCGGGGCUGAGGGUAUGUACCAGUAGCUAUGUGUUUGAUCUCUCUCUCUCUCUCUCUCUCUCUCUCUCUCUCUCUCGUGUUCUCCCUAUGGCACGAUCUUGAUGUAUCGCGAGCUUUGCUAUUAUAGUUGGAUCUUAUGAUGUUUCUCCCCCUCUACUCUCUUGUGAUGAAUUGAUUUUCCCUCUUAAAGUUAUCUUAUCGGAUUGAGUCUUUGAUUUGAGAACACUUGAUGUAUGUCUUGCCGUGUUUAUCUGUGGUGACAAUGGGAUAUCACGCGCCACUUGAUGUAUGUUUUGGUGACCAACUUGUGGGUUCCGCCUAUGAACCUAUGCGUAGGGGUUGGCACACGUUUUCUUGACUCUCCGGUAGAAACUUGCGGGCACUCUUUGAAGUACUUUGUGUUGGUUGGAUGAAUCUGAGAUUGUGUGAUGCAUAUCGUAUGAUCAUGCCCACGGAUACUUGAGGUGACAAUGGAGUAUCUAGGUGACAUUAGGGUUUUUGUUGAUUUGUGUCUUAAGGUGUUAUUCUAGUACGAACUCUUGAAUAGAUCGAUCCGAAAGAAUAACUUUGAGGUGGAUUCGUACCCUACCAUAAUCUCUUCGUUUGUUCUCCGCUAUUAGUGGCUUUGGAGUGACUCUUUGUUGCAUGUUGAGGGAUUGUUAUAUGAUCUAUCUUUGUUAUUAUUGUUGAGAGAACUUGCACUAGUGAUAGUAUGAACCUUAGGCCUUGUUUCCUAUCAUUGCAAUACCGUUUACGCUCACUUUUACCAUUAGUUACCUUGCUGUUUUUAUUAUUUCAGAUUACAAAAACCUAUAUCUACUAUCUAUAUUGCACUUGUAUCACCAUCUCUUCGCCGAACUAGUGCACCUAUACAAUUUACCAUUGUAUCGGGUGUGUUGGGGACACAAGAGACUCUUUGUUAUUUGGUUGCAGGGUUGUUUGAGAGAGACCAUCUUCAUCCUACGCCUCCCACGGAUUGAUAAACCUUAGGUCAUCCACUUGAGGGAAAUUUACUACUGUCCUACAAACCUCUGCAUUUGGAGGCCCAACAACGUCUACAAGAAGAAGGUUGUGUAGUAGACAUCAAGGACGAGAAGGAAUUAAGCUUGGGGAUGCUGAUACGUCUUCACCAUAUCUAUAAUUUAUGAAGCAUUCAUGUUAUUUUAUUAUCUGUUUUGAAUGAUUACGGCCUUUAUUAUACACUUUUACAUUACUUUUGGGACUAACCUACUAACCGGAGGCCCAGCCCAUAUUGCUGUUUUAUUGUCUGUUUCAGUAUUUCGAAAAAAAGGAAUAUCAAAUGGAGUCCAAACGGAAUGAAACCUUCGGCAGCGUGAUUUUUGGAACGAACGUGACCCAGGAAACUUGGAGUGCAAGCCGGGGAAGCGUCGAGGAAGCCACAAGAUAGGGGGGUGGGCCCACCCCCCCUGGGCGCACCCUCCACUCUUGUGGGCCCCUCGAGGCUCCCCCGACCGACUUCUUUCGCCUAUAUAAGCCUACGUACCCUAAAAACAUCGAGACAUAAGAUAGAUCGGGAGUUCCGCCGCCGCAAGCCUCUGUAGCCACCAAAAACCUCUCGGGAGCCCAUUCCCGCACCCUGCCGGAGGGGGGAUCCCUCACCGGUGGCCAUCUGCAUCAUCCUGGCGCUAUCCAUGACGAGGGGGGAGUAGUUCACCCUCGGGGCUGAGGGUAUGUACCAGUAGCUAUGUGUUUGAUCUCUCUCUCUCUCUCUCGUGUUCUCUCUAUGGCACAAUCUUGAUGUAUCGCGAGCUUUGCUAUUAUAGUUGGAUCUUAUGAUGUUUCUCCCCCCUUUACUCUCUUGUGAUGAAUUGAGUUUCCCUUUAAAGUUAUCUUGUCGGAUUGAGUCUUUAAUGAUUUGAGAACACUUGAUGUAUGUCUUGCCGUGCUUAUCUGUGGUGACAAUGGGAUAUCACGUGCCACUUGAUGUAUGUUUUGGUGAUCAACUUGCGGGUUCUGCCCAUGAACCUAUGCAUAGGGGUUGGCACAUGUUUUCGUCUUGACUCUCUGGUAGAAACUUUGGGACACUCUUUGAAGUACUUUGUGUUGGUUGAAUAGAUGAAUCUGAGAUUGUGUGAUGCAUAUCGUAUAAUCAUGCCCACGGAUACUUGAGGUGACAAUGGAGUAUCUAGGUGACAUUAGGGUUUUGGUUGAUUUGUGUCUUAAGGUGUUAUUCUAGUACGAACUCUUGAAUAGAUCAAUCUGAAAGAAUAACUUUGAGGUGGUUUCGUACCCUACCAUAAUCUCUUCGUUUGUUCUCCGCUAUUAGUGGCUUUGGAGUGACUCUUUGUUGCAUGUUGAGGGAUUGUUAUAUGAUCUAUCUAUGUUAUUAUUGUUGAGAGAACUUGCAUUAGUGAAAGUAUGAACCUUAGGCCUUGUUUCCUACCAUUGCAAUACCGUUUACGCUCACUUUUAUCAUUUGUUACCUUGCUGUUUUUAUAUUUUCAGAUUACAAAAACCUUUAUCUACCAUCAAUAUUGCACUUAUAUUACCAUCUCUUCGCCGAACUAGUGCACCUAUACAAUUUAUCAUUGUAUUGGGUGUGUUGGGGACACAAGAGACUCUUUGUUAUUUGGUUGCAGGGUUGCUUGAGAGAGACCAUCUUCAUCCUACGCCUCUCACGGAUUGAUAAACCUUAGGUCAUCCACUUAAGAGAAAUUUGCUACUGUCCUACAACACUUGGAGGCCCAACAACGUCUACAAGAAGAAGGUUGUGUAGUAGACAUCAGAGACCACCUUCACCUGAUGCAGAUGCGGGGAGACCACCUUUGGCAGAAGGGAGGCUGCCACCCUCCCCUGGCCAUCGGCGAGGAUCUAUCGGCCGGAGCCCAUCCCGCACUCGAUAGGGUUGCAGCUCCAGGCGACGCAACAAAUGGGAUCGAGCCUCCCACACCGCGCGCGCCUCCCGCCGAGUGAUGGGAAAAGAAAGCCCCGCCACCGUCGUUCGUCGCGCGGGCUUAGCCCGGCGGCCUCCACCGGCGACGGCGAGGUGAGGGAGGGGACGAGGAGGGCUCGCGGCGGCGACCUGGUGGUUUUCCGGCCGAGCCGCUCGAGAGGCGACGCGGGGGCUUGGCUACACCUAAUUGCGUCAUCACUCUUUGGGGUUGCUCCACUUUGUCCCAGACCGUUGUUCCUUCAUUUGUGGUGUUUUUGAUUGGCUACACGAAGCUCAUACAUGCUCUAGAGGGCCGAUAUUCGGUUGUCAGUAUAGCCGUGCAUUUGACUCCAUGGCACGAUGCUCAAACCAACACCCAAAUUUAGAGGAACGUUCAAAUCGAUCAUUUCAUUAGAUGCAUGCUCGUUGUAGUGCAAUCUACACUACAAGGAAGGAUGUGGGUUGAGGUAAAUACAUGCGAUCAAACAACACACAAAACAGUUCAGAGCCUGCAUACUCUCAAAUAGGCUCCAUUGGCCAGGCUCCCGGGAAAUGUGAAAAACACGGAGACAACCAAACAGGCCAGAAAAAAGGGCAGUGAUCUGCGCCGGUGCGCCGGCCCAACAGUUGGGCCGGUCAAGCCCAGGCCGUCCGAUGCACUGCCUCCCAACCGUCAGGUCGAGCCCUCCUGCAUCAUCGUCUACCUUCCGCGUUGUCUUUUCCCUCGAUAACAAGCGCGAUCGAGACGAGCCACGACAAGCGCCGCGGGCCAUCCCACACACAGCUGUGGGCGUCUACUCGCCGUUCGCCGCUUGCCCUAACCGUCGUCGUCGCCGCUCGCUGGUAGGAGCGCAGGUGCCCCAUGGCCCGCCCCCUCCUAUGGAGCAAAAAAAUGGAUCCAACAAAAAAAAAUCGACCCUGCUGGCCCCUGGAGUUCAUCGUCGUUGCAGCUCCGCCGGGAAGCCACCGCGGUAGCCAGUUGCAUCAAUGGUGAGGUGCCGAUUCAAGCUUUUUGUCACGGUCUCUGGUUGAAGCUUUUCAGAAAUAGGGUUGAAGCUUUUCAAUUUAUGGUUGAAGCUUUCCAAUUCGAUGGUUGUAGCUUUUCCAAUUCUACCAGCUUCACCGCCGGCGUUGGAGCCGGCUAGGGUUGGAGCUACAACCAGCAACUUUUGUUGCUACAACUGACCACACCAGAUGCUGGAACCGGCCGUCUUUUUUGCUACACCCGGUGGGAGCAACGACGGUGACAACUAUUUUUGUUGGAAUAGGCAUCUGGAUUUGCUGGAACCAGUGAUUAAAAUUGCUACAUCCAUGAUGAGUGGGGGUGCGACGGCGAGCUGCGACCAAAGGAAAAAGCUGUAACAGUAUUCUAGGAAAGCUACAACGGUGAUGCACGAGAGCUGCAACCGUGGUUUGUUUUGCUACUACGGGCGACCAAUUUUGCUGCAUCAGUGAUAGCGGGAUGACAUGGCCGCCGACAUGGCGUGCCGCAACCAGGCAAGGGGAGCUGCAACCAUGGCUCGACACCAGGCAUAUCCAUGGCGGCUUCCAACUCAGGCUCACCGGGGCGGGAGGAACUUGCAGCCGGGGGGCAGUGGAGAAGUGGGCAAGGGCCUUGAGGUUGGAGGUAGUGACCUGCACGGGAUUGGGGCUAGUCGGCGUUGGGAUCCGAAGGAGGAAGAUGAGGAGCGUGGCCACCAGCGCGCUAGGCUGAGAUAGAAGGAGGGGACCGGGAGGAAGAAGGAACAGGAGAAGAUAAGGUGGGUCAGGGUGAUGCACGAGGCGUAUGAUGGGGACUCAUCGCGUGGCUCGCGAGCGACCGGCGGAAUCGUUCGACCGGCGCACCACGCCCAAACGUUUACAAAAAAAAAA